GUUGGGGGAGUCGGUUGGGAAAAGGGGGGCCGAUGCAGGGAUCACGAUGGCGAUCGACGACGCCGACAAGCUAGGAACUGGAGGAGACGCAUAUCCGGGUUGCCGGGCCCGAAGCCAUCAGGACACUGGAAAAUGUAGGUCGAGGGGCGCUGGGUCCGGAGCUACACCAGCGAGGGUUCCAGCGCAAAGGCAUGAGCACCCGUAGAACACCAGCAGGCACGCCGCAAGGGCUGACCAGCGCUGGGGAGGCACCACCGGAAGCACAUCAAAAAGCCGCAUCUUGAAGCCAUGGUCGCGGCUUAGAUGGAGAAGAGCGCCGUCGCGGCGCCUCAAGGACGGCCUGAGACCAGCAGAGGAGCACGCCAACCCCAAUCUCGGGUCCAGCGCCGUUAGUGGAGAGGAAGCCAGCGACAGGACAAACAGAUCUGACGCAGAGAUGGGGGGAGGCGAACGCACCUCGCCGGCGGCAAGAGUUCGCAGCGGGCGGUGGCAGGGAGGGCGGGGGAGGGCAGGGGCGAAGGAUGUCGCCGAGGACGUGCUGGCGGACGGAGCGGCCAGCGGAGGGCGGCAGGCGAGGGCGGGGGCGAAGGAUGUCGCUGAGGACGCGCUGGCGGAUGAAGCGGCAAGCGGCGGGCGGCACGAGGGCGGUUGGCCGGCAGGGGGCGAAGCUUGACGAGGCGCCCCGCCGCCACUAUCCUGGGAGCCGGCACAGGCUUUACCAGCCGCUCCUCCGGUGGCGGCGAGUUGCUGCGGUUCUGGGAAGGGGUUGCGGUGGUAAGGGCUAGGGUUCCCCGCCGCCGCCAGGGAGUGCGACGCGGGGGACGUGAGAGGGGGCGGGGUCUCUGUGGUGUCGGAGUGGUUACUAAGUUAUAUGAGUGAGGAUGAGGGCAGAAGGGGGAUUCUAAGCCGGAUACAAUAGCGUGUGGGGAAAAAAUGGAUAGGUUAGAUGUGAUUUUUGUGUUAAACCCUCAAAUAUAUAUGCCCCCCCCCCCCCUAGCAAUGCACGACACCAGCACUGGCAGUGACCAGUGUCGGAGGAUGGGCCGUGGGUACAAAAGGAGGAAGACAAAGACGAGGAAGAAGAUGGCGAUCAUAGAAUUUUACCACCGAAAAAAAGUGCUUACUUGCUCUCAUUGUAUCCACUAAAGAAAUUGAUAAAGAAAUGAUAUAUAUUUGAAGGAUUUCACUCGAUUCAUUUAGUCAUCAGUUUGAUUAUUUUUCAUGUAUUUCGCCCGUAGCAACGCACGGGCAUUCUACUAGUAAAGAUAAAGAAAGAGCACCAAGUUGUUUGUUCAUGGUUCGAUAAAUACCAAUCAACCUGAUAUUUUUUAUGGCUGUUCUACACUAACGUGUCCUGCUAUAUAUUUUUGUUUCAGAAAUUUCGAUCCGCAUAUAAUAAAAGGUCAUCCACACCUUGCUGCCCUGCCAAUAGGAUGACCACUAAUUUGUUUCAGAGUGAGAACUCCUCCUUUUGCGGGCCAAAAUAGUUCUUCCGCAUUGCUUGCUUCUGCAUAAUCACCUACCCACCUGUGUCGGUUUCGGGUACAGGUACCCUUUUGUUGAAGGCCAUUCAAGCUUUUCCUGGGAGUAUGACAUUGGUUACAUACUUAAGCACCGUAGCGUCUGGUAUGAGCCUCAUGGAGAAGCAAUCCCUAGUUCACUGGGCUCAUACUUCAGUGUUGCAGCGCUCGGUACUCGGACCUCGGUUCGAGGCAUUUUCUCUACCCCUUUUUACCCUGAAAAAGCAGGGUCACCUUGUGCAGUGUAACCAUUACAAGCAACUAUACAUGCAUCUUCAGAGAAAUACUCCUCCUGUAGGCUGCAGCAUAUGCGAAAUCAGCCUUUCACAGAAGGAAGUAAUACAACUUGAACUUGUUGAGAAACUUUGCUGUACUAUGCAGUUUGGAGCCCUGCACAAGGAUGUUAUGAUAGUAGGCUGGUCAUUUGGGUGUGUACUACUAUGUCAUGUCAUCAUUGUAAUCAACUUAAAUUAGCCAAACUUGUUGAGUAGCCAAGAGUAGUACCGGUGAGCUUGUUGAAGAGGAGGAGGCCAAGGGCGAGAUUGCUGAGUGUACCUCUUUUAGAAGCACUGGACAAUGCAUUCACCAAGCUAUCCAUGUCUUAUUUGAUGUAGGUUUCCUUGUGUUUCAUCAUCGAUGCGGCCAUCUUACAGGUAACCUUCAUCACUCUCAGGCUAUGAGCCGUCAGAACAUUGCUUUCUUCUACCAUCUCCUUGAGCUUCUUUGGAAGGCUACCUGCGUGAAACUUACAUGGCAAAUCUUGAAAACACAUAUGAAUGUGUCACAUACCGUCACACUCAUCGUCCUCCACAUGAAGAUCCUCUUUGUUCUCCUUGUAUUCAGGAUGAGUGGAAGAAGAGAUUUUAUCCUGCGCAUGGUANNNNNNNNNNNNNNNNNNNNNNNNNNNNNNNNNNNNNNNNNNNNNNNNNNNNNNNNNNNNNNNNNNNNNNNNNNNNNNNNNNNNNNNNNNNNNNNNNNNNNNNNNNNNNNNNNNNNNNNNNNNNNNNNNNNNNNNNNNNNNNNNNNNNNNNNNUAUUCAAUAGUUAUUUAUACUUUACUACAUGUAUCUUAUAAUUAUAAUUUGCAUCAUAUAAUCACAUAUAGAUGAUGUAUUAAGGCAUUAGUACCUUGGUCCUGGUUUACAGGUCCGGUAGGCAGCGUGGGCGCGUAUGUGUUUACAAGGCCGCUGCCUCGGUUGUGCUGUGAAAAGCAAAAAGGUGAACUCCUCAAGUGGCCCAUGUCUGUACAUCUCCCAACGCUCAACUAAUCCCCAACCUUCAGUUACCAGAUGUGGGCUGGUGCAUGCGAGAGGGAGCUAGCUGAUUGGGUGACGUUGUCCACACCAGAUCAAGGGAGAGAGAAAGUGCUAUUUCUCCGGGUCUACAUCUGCAAUACUCAUAUUUCAACCCCAGUUUGGGUUAGUGAUAUACUCCCACCGUCCCAUAAUAUAAGAACAUUUUUCGAGUUGAGGACUGAGGGAGUAGUAUUUUUAAUGUUGAUGUACCGAAGUGUUGUCCCUAUGCAAUAACCUCAUUAGAAUAAGCCAGGUCGUGCACAAGCAGUAGGAAAUAAUCAAGAAACCAGAACCCUCAGAAGUAGUGUAGUAGCAUAUAUUGUGCCAAUUGUGCUCCGGUAGACAAUUACUGACAAUGGAGUCUUUUUCUUUUUUGAGGAAAUACAAACACUGGAGUCUAAUACUACACUACCGGCUGGCUAAGACAUAGAUGAGUGUCUCAUCACUGAUUAGUGUCUGAUAUCACCAAGGUUCUAGGUCAGAGACCGGUCCCGGCACUUAUAUUACAUGGGAGCGACUGGAACCAGGUGACUGAGGACACCUAGUUCUCCAUGCGGAUGAUGCAGCGAAUGCCCUUGCCCUUGGCCACGAGGUCAAAGGCCUUGUUGAUCUCCGAGAACGGUACGCUGUGCGUGAUGAAGUUUUCCACCUCCAGUUCCUGAUGACAAUAGCAAGUUGUUAGCAUGAGCAUUGAGUUCUUCACAAUGUCGCAUUUCGAUGUAUGAUGACUUUGGAAAUGGGGUGGCAUCCAAAAUAUCUCAAGUCUUCGCGAGCAUUGACCAAGCUAUGUCAAAACUUAUUUUUUUUUCGGGGAAGCUAUGUCAAAACUGUCUACCUUCUUCACGUACAUCUCUACAAAAUUGGGCAGAUCAGUGCACGGCUUGAAGUUGCCGAAGAAGGCCCCCUUUAGAGUCCUCUCGUUCAGGAAGUUCAUUGGGUGGGUCUUGAAUUCGGCGUCCUUGUGUGGCACAUCGACCAGCACAGCGACACCCCAGCCCUGUAUAUAGAUAAAAAUAUUGAAUUUAAUGAUUCCAUCUAAGAGAGAAGAGACGAUGCAAAUGACCAUGUUUUAAGUGAAUGAUUGAUGUCUUGAAAAGCCAUACAUCAUAUGAUCACAUUCAAAUGCUUGUAUCAUAGCACUGAUAUUGCCGGUGCAUUCAACACUACGGUCGACUCCGCCGUUUGUCAUCUCAGCGAGUACCUAAAGAGUCAUCAUAAAGUAGUAUGUUAUGAUCAUUAUUAAGCAUAACAAAUACUACUUCGCAUGAUGUGAGUAAACGAACCUCUUGAACUGGCUUGCUGUGGUCUUUCGGGUUCACCAAUUCCGUGCAGCCAAAUUUUCUUCCGGAACAUGGACAAAAUAUAAAUCAUUAGUAGUAACUAGUAACUUCUCAAAACAACAAAAUAAACCCAUGACUUGUUCUAGGCAAGAACUCGUAAACUAAGCAUGCAAAACAGAAUGGUCAUAUAUAUGAUCAUGCAGCCUACUCGUCACAUCAUGAAACACACAUGAUAAGCAGUUGUUGGAUGGUCUGCUCAAUACAUAUCCCAUGCUCACAUUUUGUUACUCCGUCCGAAAAUACUUGUCAUCAAAAUAGACAAAAAGGGGUGUAUCUAAAACUAAAAUGCAUCUAGAUACAUCCCCUUUUAUUCAUUUUGAUGACAAGUAUUUCCGGACGGAGGGAGUAAGAGCUAACAAAAACUAGUGGUGUGUAGAAGGCAAGAUAUAUAUAUCCUUGCCUUUAGGAUGUCAAAGGGAGCCUGAUAUGAGUUCAAACUUGGGUGCCCCUUUAUCCAGCCUUCAAGAAGAUCUGAAAUAUUAGAGAAAAACAAAAAGAGCACGUUAGCAAUCACAGAGAGAAGCUGAAGGUGUGAAUGGAUGGAUUCGUCGUGUUCAACUAUGAGUCCUGUACCGAGUUGUUCGACGAGACGCGGAAGGUGAAACUUGUAGGCGCAGUGUGAGUUGGAAUUAUGUGCUAUGAAGAAGGGUCAAUGAGUAUCUGCUGCUACCGUUGGCCUGCGACGUAGCUGAGAAGCUUGUGGGCUACCACGUGUCGGAGGAGACCCUGCUACUGACAGACCGGAGCGGCAUGUUGCUGUUGAGCAGGAUGGAGUGAUUUUAGCAUAAUCUUGACUUCGUGUUUGAGUCUAGUUAGUUCUUAUCAGGAAUGGAUAUUCUAAUACUCCCUCAGUUCCCAAAUAUAAGUCUUUCUAGAGAUUCCAACAAGCGACUAUAUACGGAGCAAAAUGACUGAACCUACACUCUAAAAUAUGUCUACAUACAUCCGUAUGUUGUUGUCCAUUUAAAAUGUCUAAAAAGACUUAUAUUUAGGAACGGAGGGAGUAGUUAUCAUGCUUGCUUGCCGGGUGAUUAGAUUAUUAGAAAAAAUGUGUUAGAGCGGUUUGGAAUUUGAUUCGUAUUGGCAUGUAGCGUGUCUGUGCUUUUCUAUACACACGCGCUCCAUUGCAUGGCACAGAGAGAGGAAUGGGGUCCUCCUUGUCGGCCCGUAGGUACAAAGGGCAACCCGGCGAAAAAAAGAAGCUGGACUUAGACUGAUGCGCUACAACAUCCCCACAUCAAUUUUUGCUAAAGUGAUCGCUGCAACGGAAUCUUUUUUAUGCACCUUAUCAAACAUCAUGUUAACAUCAAUGCAUGCAUCCUAUUAAACAUCUUGUAAACCUUCUAUGUUCCUCCGCUGCUGCCCUGUGGGAGAUGCACCUCUAGUGAUGUUCACUUUUGCUUUGGCAAAAUGUCUAUGCACGGGAGGAAAGCCUAAAGCCUUUAUUGCGUCGCUGGAUGGGAAAGGUUUGGUGGCGAGGUGAGGUGAGGAAGAAACUGAAUAUGCAAAUCAAUGUAGUUUUGCUUGGCUGUUGUGGAUUUGAAUUGGAUGGUUGCAUCAUUCAUUUGCUGCUUUAGCUAUGGAAUGCCGCCGUUUGAGAUAUCUAGAUAGAACUGACUUUGUGUUCAUUUAUGUAAUGCACAUGAUUUGGCCAUGGUCAGAAGUGUAUGUGGAGCAUAGGAGAUUUACUUUAAAGAUGAUGCUUAGCCAAUCAGCAGACUGAGAUAUUACAACAGUUUCCCUUCGAAAGAUUUUGUUUCGGCAUAUCUGUUGUACCAUUCACAAUUCACUUGAUGGUCCUCCUUUACACUUUAGGCUAAUCUCUAUCGUGUUUUCCUCAGUUGUUGCAACAUGUAUCUCGUGAACAUUUGAUGCAUUCUCCUCCAACCAAAAACAUUGUUUCUAUUCACUUUGUUCAUACCCAAAAAGGCUUUCGCCCUGUUUUAUAUAUAAAGCAACAACCCUUAUACAUUCGAACCAUACAACACGGCAUCCAAACACACGCACCCAAAGCAAGAUACAAAGGUGCCAAAUAUCAGCUAAGCCAACUCGAAGCAAACGACAGAUGUACAGCAAGCAUCACCACAAAGAUGACGAAGGCCUCCAUCGAGAACAAGCCACUGUGAAGAACGCAUCUGACCGCUGACGAACCGUGAGCUCCAAGGUAGUGCAUUCAGGAAGGACACCACACCAGAGGGCCGCCACCACCCGGUCCAAAGGAUCAAUAUUUUCAUCCGGAGCAACACCGAGGAUCGGGAGAGACUGUGACAGAGCCGACAAGAAGGGGACGAUGUCCGCGGAUGCCACCGUCUGCCUGACCAUGGCCAGACAAGGAUUUCACCCUGCAUACCACUCCACCUCCGAUCAGGGUGCACCCGGACAAACAAACCUGCUGCUCCACAACCAUGGAUCGUCGAGCCCAAGCCACCCCGCUGCACACACGACCAAGGUCGCCGGUCCGUGCCCGAGCUGUGAGCUCCUCACACAAACACCACAACUUCCACCGCAGAGCCACCGCCCUGCCAUCCCGGUACCCCCAUCGGCUGCCCAUACAUGUGUCUUCGUGUUAUUUAGAUGUAACCGGUCUGUGGUUGAGUUUCGAGAAUUGGUGUAAAUGAGUAUUCUAGCUCUUGCAAUGGUGAUCUUGGUUUUAUCUUUCCACAGCGGGAGAAUGGAUAGGCCUUUUUUGCGGAAGAAAAUGGUAAAUUCAUACAUACCAUUUACGGGUCUAAUGAGUUUGUCUGUGUGUGGACCUUUCCUUUCAUNNNNNNNNNNNNNNNNNNNNNNNNNNNNNNNNNNNNNNNNNNNNNNNNNNNNNNNNNNNNNNNNNNNNNNNNNNNNNNNNNNNNNNNNNNNNNNNNNNNNNNNNNNNNNNNNNNNNNNNNNNNNNNNNNNNNNNNNNNNNNNNNNNNNNNNNNNNNNNNNNNNNNNNNNNNNNNNNNNNNNNNNNNNNNNNNNNNNNNNNNNNNNNNNNNNNNNNNNNNNNNNNNNNNNNNNNNNNNNNNNNNNNNNNNNNNNNNNNNNNNNNNNNNNNNNNNNNNNNNNNNNNNNNNNNNNNNNNNNNNNNNNNNNNNNNNNNNNNNNNNNNNNNNNNNNNNNNNNNNNNNNNNNNNNNNNNNNNNNNNNNNNNNNNNNNNNNUCUCUCCUGGCACUAAAUCUGUCAUCUAACCUGACCAGUUUUGCAUAUGGAAACUUAUAACAGUCACUGAAAAAAAUAACGCGCUAUAGCGCCGUUAAUGGCAUGAUAUAGUUUGUAGAGAAUUGUCUCACUAAACUAAUUAGUGUACAAUGUCUCGCUAAUAGUGCACCAUAGCACGCUAAUAUAUAGCAUAUUUUCAUGGGUGGCGCUAUCAUGUGCACCAUAGCAUGUCCAUCAAUUAGUGCUCUUCCCUUUAGUAAAUAGAACUUGCUUGGAUAUAUUGCUACAGAGCAGAGGCCAAUCUUGCAAAAUGCUCUGCUUGCAUGUUCAGAAACUACUUUGACUACUUUGAUCUGAGAAUUCCUCUGACUUGUGAAAUUUGUAUCUCAAUUUCUUCCUAGUAUUCUGAAAUUUCUAAACUAUUUCCAUGGCCUUCUGGUCUGUGUCCAGAUUUUUGAAUCUGCAUCUGUCUUGUUUGUCUCGUGACAUCUACUCCUUCCGUUCCUAAAUAUAAGCUUUUUUAGAUAUUUUAAUAUGGACUACAUACGGAGCAAAAUAAGUGAAUCUACACACUAAAAUAUGUCUAUAUACAUCUGUAUAUAGUCCGCUGAAAUCUUUAAAAAGGCUUGUACUCCCUCCGUUUCCUAAUAUAAGGCAUUUUAGCUUUUUCAUGUUUUGUACAUAUCUAGACAAAUUUUAGUAAUGUGUGUUCAUUCAUUUUAGUAUGUAUGUGGUCAAUAUUUUGAAAUAGCUAAAAUAUCUUAUAUUAAGGAACAGAUAAAGUAGAUAAAUUGGACUCGACAAACAACAAAGUCAGAUGGCAGAACCAUGGCCAUCAUGUUCAUCGUCAUCGUCUCAUCCGAAAAAGAAGUUCAUGACGAUGCCACAAGUUCACAAGGCAGCACCGAAAACAGCACAAGCCUUGGCUGUGUCUAAUUUAUUCUCCUUUAUUAGAGUACAUUACACUCAAAUAGUUCACAGUUCUCUUAACUUCCACAUUUAAGUCCAUACUAAAUCAAGUGGGUCACCGCGUAUCAGCACCAGCACACGGCAUCAGAUAGAUGACGAUGAUUCAGUGUUAUUAUGCCUGUAAACUUAUGUUGUGUUUUUAUUCUUCUUCUUGAACGUUCAUGCCUGAUAAACGCAUAUGAUAUACAUCCAUUUGAGGGACAAGAUUGGGACAAGCUUUUUCAGACAGAGGGAGUGUACUCCUAGAAAAUUGGUUUCGUAGCAGCUAGCACAUGGCAGAAAUUGGCCAGCUGCAACAAGUCAAGGGAGCCUUCAUUUUUUUUUUCACAGAGAUUACUGAAAACAAAAUGUUAUAUGUCGGGCCACCAUCUGCUACAGACGCUCUCUCUCGUUCGCUCCCAUUCCUUGUACAAUGAAGGACAAUGCAGGUAGCAGAGGAUGGCUUGCGGUAGUUGAUGUACAUGGAAACAGACUCUCUUUUGUCAAAAAAAAAGAAGAAGAUGGAAACAGAGGAUCGAUCAUACGUAGUCACCGCUGUGGUAUGAGAGAUUGUUGGUGUGUAGAUAAUGUAAUUAGGUGAGUCUAUAGGGUCUAAAAUGUAAAUUGUACAAACAAUAUAUAAAUCAGCAGAGAGAAUGGAUCGGUGAGGAACGAUCCAGAAAUUCCCCAAAUGCUCUUCACACUCCCUCCAAUCCCCAGCUCAAAUCCCUCAAAUCUCAGAUGAUUUUCAACAUGGCAUCGGAGCAGGUCAAUCCUGUGUGAUUUCGACCUUGGUGACGGCUAAUUGCGGUGCUGUGUCGCCGUGAUUUACGGCUGUGGGCACUUGAGCUGCGUCGUUCGCGAGCUGCCGCCGAGACCUGCGACAUCAUCUCCAAGCUACGGCACCGAGUGCUGCGCCCAAUCGAAGGUAGCCUGUUGACUGCCUCCCGGUGCAUCUAUGCUUACUCCCUGUGCUCAGAAGUGGAUGUUGUGCUGCCGCGGAAAAAUUGCUGGUUGCCAUUGUGCCGUCCGUCCAAGCAGUAAGCUGUCUUCUGUACUUCAUUGAUUAGUGCAGCCGGUACUAGUACUUGUGGCUGCCGUUGGAGAACCGUGAUUAGUGCAGCCGGAUAGCUCAUCUUUGCCUAGUGGCCGGAUUAAAAUACUUGUGCAGUGUGUGUGCAUUUGAGAGCAAUCUGCACUAGUAUAUCUGAUUGGCUAGUAUCAACUCUGCUUGUACUCUGCUUGUACUGCCUGUGUGUUGUUGUUAGUGGAGAUCUGCAAAAACCAAGUCCUGUGUGUCUGGUUUUUUCUUUCUGUGGUGGUAAAUCAUGGCAGAUCCAACAAAGGGGAAAUCAGGGGAUACUAGUGUGGAUAAGUUGUAUGAAAUUUUAAGCAAAGUAUUUGAACAGCAACAGCAACAACUCAAAGUGGUUCCUGAAGCUGUCAAGUAUGCACUUGAGCCUAAUCCAGUGAAGUUGGCUGGACCGGGCAAUUACAUCAGCUGGGCAUGGCAUGCCCAGUUAAUUCUGAGUUCUCAUGGCUAUGAAGAAUUGCUUAGUGCCGAUGAAGAGAAACUGAAAAGUGGUACUAUCACUAAACAGAUCAAUGAUAGAGUUUUGGUAUGGUUAUUAGGAAGCAUGGAACCACCGAUACGAGAACAAGUUGAGACUUUGACCACUGUAUUUGAAGUGUGGAAAGCUUUGGAGAAGCAAUUUUCAGGAAAAUCAAAUAAGAUGCAGGCUACUCGCAUCAUGCACGAGUUGACUAACUUGAAGCAAGGCUCAAAAUCAGUGACUGAGUAUGCAGGUGAGAUGAAGAGAUUGUAUAGGGAGUUGCAUUAUUACCAUCCUUUUCAACCCGUUGACAAGAAUGAUGUGGCUGUUCACCAUACCUGGUUUGAACCAUUUGUGGGCAAGCUCUUUCUUGAUGGCCUAAAUCAGGAGUUUGAUCUCCGCCGCCAGCUAAUAUUCUCCAAAACUGAAUGGCUAAGCCUUGAUGAUAUCAUUUCCAGUGUGAUUGAGGAGGAGACUCGUCUUGCUCAACCCAAUGAGCAUGUUCAAGAAAAAUCAGAUGCACGUGCAGCCCUAUCCAUACAAGCUCGUCGUGCUCCUAAGACCUUUGCUAAAAUAGAUAAAAGCAAACUUUUUUGCAACCACUGCAAAAGGCCUGGACAAACAAAGGAUUCAUGCUUUGAGCUGCAUGGUUAUCCAACUUGGUGGGAAAAAGGAAAAUCUCAGCCAGGGGGAGGUCAAGGAGCUCAUAAAAGACAUGCGAAUCUCACUACAUCCAAGAGGGAGCUACCGGUAGUAGAUGUGCGAGCUCUUGAGGAUUUCACCUCCAAGAUUAGACUCUCAGAAGACUUGUCUUCCUUCCAGGAUUCCUCUAAAGCUGAAACUAGUUUGCAUGCCACUUCACUCCAAGGUAUAACACCUCACAAGACCCACAAUUCUACAAUGCAAUCAAAAUCUUGGAUUAUUGAUACAGGAGCUACCAAUCACAUGACAGGAGCUUCAAAUAUAUUCACUUCCUAUACACCUUGUUCAGGUAAGGACAAAGUACGUGUAGCUGAUGGAUCCAUGGCACCUAUCACAGGACGUGGAUCUGUUAGGUGCACUAAGACAUUGUCCUUACCUCAUGUCUUACAUGUUCCUAAAUUUCCAGUCAAUCUCUUGUCAGUUAGCUCUAUUACUGAAUCUCUCAAUUGUAGAGGUUUGUUUUAUCCUACCUGGUGUGCUUUUCAGGAGCUAGAGACAUGGAGACUGUUGGGGACUGGGACCGUGCAUGAUGGACUCUACUAUCUUGAUGAAGGGAGUGAUGAAGUUGCUUUUGCAUCAUGCUUGUCUCCUAAUCAAGAACUACUACUACACCAUCGCAGGCUUGGGCAUCUCUCUUUUGCCGCAUUGUUUCGUAUUUACCCCUCUCUUUUCAAGUUGUGCCCUAGGGAAUUGCUUGUAUGUGAUGCUUGUGAAUUGGCUAAACAUACAAGAGGUUCAUAUCCUAGUAUAGGAUUAAGAAGUGCCAAACCAUUUGAAAUAAUUCACUCAGAUGUUUGGGGACCCUGUGAGGUUCGUUCGAUUUCUGGGCAUCGAUGGUUUGUAACUUUUAUCGAUUGCUUUAGUCGUUACACUUGGCUCUAUCUCUUGAAGCAUAAGAGUGAUGUGUGCUCAGUUUUUAAAGAUCUAUAUGCUCUCAUUAAAAAUCAACAUGGGGCAACUAUUAAAACAUUACGUUCAGACAAUGGUACAGAAUACAUGAACCAGGAGUUUGAACAGUUCCUUGUCUCAAACGGCAUUGAACAUCAAACUACCUGUGUUAACACUCCAGAACAAAAUGGUGUUGCAGAGCGUAAAAAUAGACAUUUUCUUGAGGUUGCACGCUCACUUAUGUUUACAAUGAACCUGCCUAAAUUUCUUUGGGGGGAAGCAAUAAAAACUGCAACAUAUUUGAUAAACUGUAUGCCUCUUCGGGUUCUUGGCCAUAAGACUCCUGCUGAGUGUCUGAUUUUGUAGUUCCUCCAAAGGUCUUUGGGUGUGUUUGCUUUGUGCAUGAUUAUAGGAACUCUGUUGGAAAAUUAGAUCCCCGUGCUCUCAAAUGUGUUUUCAUGGGUUAUUCUCCCUCUCAAAAGGGUUAUAGGUGUUGGUGCCCUUCGGAGCACCGUUUUUUUGUGAGCAUGGAUGUGACAUUCCGUGAACAUGAAUCAUAUUAUGGCUUAACCAGUGACACUGGCAUUGCCCUAUCUCCACCUGAAGUGCAACAAGAAGGGGAGGGGGAUAAUGAAGGCUCUCCAUUAAGCCCUAUUCUUGUUUCCACUUCGGAUGGUUUACCUACUCUAGAUAAUGCUCAAAAUCAGGGGGAGGACACAAAUAGUGAUGGGUGUAAUCAUGGUUCUGGUCAUGGAGACAUACAAGAUGCAACAGGAAACUCUUCACUUCCUUCACAAGAUGGUGAGCUUCACAGGCAUGAGGACCCAGGUACUAACAAUAAUCCCUCUAGUCUAGUCGCUCCUAUUAGCACCACAAGGCAGAGUGAUAACCAAUUAUCUAUCCUUGCUCCUGAAAAUGACCUGCCUAUUGCUGUGAGGAAACCUACUAGAAAUCGAAAUAUUCCAGGACACCUCAAGGAUUUUAAACAUGAUAUAGCCAAUUUCAUUUCCUAUAAAUAUUGUACUCCACCCUUCAAAAGCUUUAUUGCAUCUUUAGAUUCUAUCUCCAUACCAUCAAACUGGAAAAUAGCUAUAGAGGACCCAAAUUGGAAGGAAGCAAUGCUUGAUGAGAUGAAAGCCUUGGAGAAGAAUGAGACUUGGGAGCUUGUGGAUCUACCACCAGGUAAGCAACCUGUAGGUUGUAAGUGGGUCUUCACUAUUAAACACACCCCUGAGGGCAAGGUGGAGAGGUACAAAGCCCGCCUUGUAGCAAAAGGCUACAUGCAAACAUAUGGAAUCGAUUAUGAAGAGACCUUUGCACCGGUGGCAAAGAUGAAUUCAGUAAGGACACUUAUAUCAUGUGCUGUAAACCUUGAUUGGGAUAUUUACCAGAUGGAUGUGAAGAAUGCUUCCUUCAUGGUGAUCUCCAAGAAGAAGUAUACAUGCAUAUACCACCUGGAUUUGAGUCAAGUCAAACUGUUGGAAAGGUAUUGCGCCUACAUCGUUCUUUAUAUGGCUUAAAGCAAUCACCACGUGCUUGGUUUGAUCGGUUUAGACAUGCUAUGCUAAAGAGGGGUUAUCUUCAAAGUAAUGCUGACCAUACGCUAUUUUACAAGCAUACUAAUGGCAAGGUUGCAAUCUUGAUAGUGUAUGUCGAUGACAUUGUGAUUACUGGAGAUGAUUCCAAGGAAGUUGCAGAUCUGAAGUGUCAUCUUGCACAUGAGUUUGAAGUGAAGGACUUGGGACAACUAAGAUAUUUUCUUGGUAUAGAGGUCUCACGAGGGUCAAAAGGUAUUUUUCUCUCACAGCGAAAAUAUAUCUUGGAUCUGCUCAAGGAAACAGGUAUGCUUGGUUGUCGACCUGCUGCUACACCUAUUGAGCAAAAUCAUCGGUUAUGUAGUGAUGCUGGUACACCAGUGGAUCGAGAACGCUACCAGAGACUAGUUGGAAGGUUAAUAUAUUUAUCUCAUACCCGUCCAGAUAUUGCCUUUGCUGUGAGUGUAGUUAGCCAAUACAUGCAUGACCCAAAAUCAGUUCAUAUGGAAGCUGUAAAUAGGAUCCUACGGUAUCUUAAAGGGUGCCCAGGAAAAGGCCUCUUAUAUACCAAACAAGGGGACUUGCAAGUUGAGUGCUACACUGAUGCUGAUUGGGCUGGUUCCCUAGAUGACAGGCGCUCAACAUCUGGUUACUGUACAUUUAUUGGAGGAAACCUAGUUUCAUGGCGAAGUAAGAAACAAAGUGUGGUGGCUCGGUCUACUACAGAGGCCGAGUUUAGGUCUAUGGCUCACGGCAUAUGUGAGUUAUUAUGGUUGCAGAUUCUCCUAACAGAGCUGCGGCUGUAUAAGUACAAACCUUUGAUGUUGUACUGUGACAACAAAGCUGCUAUUGACAUUGCAAAUAACCCCGUUCAACAUGACCGAACCAAGCACAUAGAAAUUGAUCGUCAUUUCAUCAAGGAGAAGCUUGAUAGAGGGAUAAUUUGCCUACCAUAUGUAACUUCAGCAAGUCAAGUAGCAGAUGUACUUACAAAAGGACUCCCAGAAAAGACUUUUUCCAUGUUUUGUAGCAAGAUGGGUUUGUACGACAUAUUCACCCCAUCUUGAGGGGGAGUGUUGGUGUGUAGAUAAUGUAAUUAGGUGAGUCUAUAGGGUCUAAAAUGUAAAUUGUACAAAGAAUAUAUAAAUCAGCAGAGAGAAUGGAUCGGUGAGGAACGAUCCAGAAAUUCCCCAAAUGCUCUUCACACUCCCUCCAAUCCCUAGCUCAAAUCCCUCAAAUCUCAGAUGAUUUUCAACAGAGAUUUAUAGCGCCGGUUGAUUAGCUUCUUUGGGGUGGGGCUGGCACUAGAUUACAUACAGAGAGGAAUUAACAAUGGACUAUAGGCGUCCUGUGGCUUGCUGCGAAAUUGGGAACAUGAUUAGAGACCCCGGAUGUAUAUAUAGAAGUCCUACAUAUACGCCAUUGUCUUAGGAUGUCAAAGUGUGUGUGGUAUGAUUACAACUUUGCUUCUCUCCCUAUCCAGCUCCGGACUAUCUAAAAUAUUGGAGGAGAACAAAUACAUAUAUCCUACCCUGCCUAAUCCCUUUCCUCGUCUUGCUCCUCACGGACGACAUAAUCUCGCAACCAAGUCCCUUCCAAUUUACAACAAGCACCCUCAAGUCUUCGUUUCCUUACAAACAAGGUCAAAAUUUUGACAGUCGGGCCAAACAUCACCGGAAAUUUUGGCAGCAUAACGCGUCGGUUUUUGGGAACAAAGAAUCGGAACAUGCAUGCAUGCAUGCACAAAUGGCACCACAAAUCGCCCCACGACCAACCACGUGCGCCAAGGCAGUGUUCUUUGUUUAGCUCACAACCACAUAGAUUAAAUGUGCCGCCGCGCUGAUUGCUGGCACUAGAUUAGGUACAGACAGGAAUUAACAAUGGACUAUAGGCGUCCUGUUUCUUUACAGAACAACCUCAUGUAGUCAGUUGGUCAGUCAGUGCUCUGCUUCUAUAGCCCUGUUUCCACCCUAUUCCUGAACCAGCGUUUAAGUUAGAUCAGAGGGUUAAAAAUUUCAGUGAUUUUUUUAAAUUUUGCAUAAUUCAGUGGGGUUCCAAAUAUUUUUAAACUUGAAAUUUCGAGGCAGAUUCAAAAUGAUUUCAAAUAAAUUUAAAUUGUUUUAGAAUUCAUCAAAAUUAAGUGUAAUUUGAAAUAUCCAAAUCCGAAAUAAUUUCUUAAAUAUAUCAAAGCACCUUUUCUAGUCUGUUUAGGUAUCAUCUUCUGUAGAGUAGAACACAAUGCAUGCAUUUGGAUACUGUUUAUAGCUAACUAGCAUGGCAGACUGGAUUAAUCAUGUUAUUAGUGUCAACGAUAUCUGAAAUACACUUGUUCCGUUUGGGGUGUGGAUUGUUUGUCCUUAUGAUGCAGGAGGAAAUUGCAAUUGCUUCCAGUUAUCUUGUUCAGACUGUUUUUAUCGGAGGAAAACAGGACGAAUUAAUACCACAUGGAAAGGGAAAAUGUGUUUGCUUCAAACUGUCUUGUUCAGAUAAUUUUUAUAGAAGGAAAACAUGACUAAUUAAUAAAGCAUGAAAAAAAAGAAAAAAAAGUAAUGUGGGUGUAUUAUCAUUCCUCAAAUUUGUACUAGUUGGGAUACAAGUUGGCGCCAAAAGUGAUCCAUGAGGGGCUCUCGCAGGUUGUAAUCCUAAUUAGUUGCUCUCCCAUUAAAUGCAUUCAGCCUUCUCAAGAAGCCCCAGUAAUCAUGGGCCCAUGAAAAGGAUAUUCAUGGAAGAUAAGGACAAGAGGUCCUAUCUGGCGCUUUGGGUGUCGCGAAGAUCUACAUCGCUUGCACACAAGGCACAGUGAGGCAGAACCAUUAGCGCCAUUGUUCCCCUCAGCUGCUUCUCUCGCUAGCUCGUUCCCCGUUCUAUCUCUUGCUCGUUGGUUAGCAGAAAGAACCAGUAGUUACAGGUUCAUGAAGAAAAUGACUUCUGAUUUUUUUACAUGAUAGCUUAUUUUUUUGUUACAUUCAAAAGAAUAUACAAAUUCUAAAAAAAUUAUGAAUUUGUUCAAAAUUUUAAAAAAUGCUCAUGAACUUGAAAAAUGUGGAAAUAUAUUGAGAAUGUCUAUGAUCUAAAAAAAUUAUGGAUUUGAAAAGUGUUCAAAAUAUUUGAAAAUGUCCACAAAUGUUGCAUGAAUUCGAAAAAAAAUUCAAAAUAUUGCUCAUAAUUUUUUUAAACAAUGAAAAGAGUAAAAGAAAGAAAAAAAUAGAAAACAAAAAAUAUUGUAUCGGAAAACCCCCGACAGAAAGCUCCGGUGUGCACUAUGUACAAAAGGGUGAUUUUUUCUAUUAAGAGAAAAACAUGAAUGAAUACAAAGUGCAGUUUAGAGCAAGUAAGCCCAACAUAAUAAGUGUCAUGUGCCUCUCUAUUUGCCGAGGCCCCGAAUCAUUAGACCAGCCCAGCCCAACUUGCCCACACUUUGCCGUAGAUUCUUUUCAAAAUGUUUUAUCUUUUGAGCCGUGCAUCCAAACCCCAAACCGUUUUCACCGUUGGGUUCCCCGCGUCGAGAUCUUUGAAACCAGAUCUUUCAUAGGUUUGAAACAUGGCGGUGGCUGAGAGCAUGUCAAGUGACGCACGGUUAGCGCAUCCGAAGUGACCUUUGAGGGGCUCCCUCAAUUUGCACGCCUAGUUAGUCGCUCUCCCAUUACAUGCAUCCAGCCUUCUCGGGAAGACCCAGUAAUUCUGGGCCUAUGAAAAGGGAAUUCAUGAAAGAUAAGGACAGGAGCUCCUAUCUAUCUGGCACUUCAGACGUUGCGAAGAUCAACAUCGCUUGCGUGGAAGGCACGGUGACCCAUGGCCAAUUAGCGCGCUUGCUCCCCUCAGCUGCUUCACUCGCUAGCCCGGUCACCGUUCUGUCGCUUACUCAUUGUCUAGUAAAAAGAACCAGUAGCUAGAGGUUCAUGAAGAAAAUGACUUUUGAUGUUUAUAGAUUUUUUUGACAUGAUAGAUCAUUUUUGUUACAUUCAAAAAAGUUUACGAAUUUUAAAAGGAUUAUGAAUUUGUUCACAAAUUUGAAAAAAUGUUCAUAGAUUUAAAAAAUGCUCAUGAACUUGAAAAAUUGUUGUCAUAUUUUGAAAAUGUUUAUGGAUUUAAAAAUGUUCAAAAUAUUGCACGGUUCACAAUUUAAAUGUUGCAUUAAUUGGAAAAGGUUAAAAAAUGUUCAUUAGUUUUUUAAACGAUGAAAAACUAAAAGAAAGAAAAAAAACGAAAACAGAACAUUGAACCACAAUACCUGACGGAAAGCUUCUAGAAAGCUCCAAAAACAUGUUUCCACACGAAUGUGGUAUUAGGCAAGCACGUUUACUUCACUCGCUCGCUACAGUGUGUGAUAUGUUCAAAAACACUACCAUUUGGCACCUUAAGCACCUGAUAAUUUUGCUCACACCAUUCUCUCCUUCAUUAAUUUCUGCAGUUCACCUGUGUUGGAGGAGUUUCUUUCGAGAGUUCCAAUGGCAGAGCUGGUGGCCGCCAUGGCCAUCCGGCCACUGGUGUCCAUCCUAAUGAGCAAGGCAUCCAGCUCACUCCUGGAUGAGUACAAGGUGAUGGAGGGAAUGGAGGAGGAGCACAAGGUUCUCAAGCGCAAGCUUCCAGUCAUCCUUGACGUCAUGAAUGACGCCGAGGGGCAGGCAAAGGAGCAUAGAGAUGGUGCCAAAGCCUGGCUCCAGGAGCUCAAGACUGUGGCCUAUGAGGCAAAUGAAGUCUUCGAUGAAUUCAAGUACGAAGCACUCCGCCGUGAAGCCAAGAAGAAGGGGCACUACAGAGAGCUUGGCUUCGAUGUAAUAAAGCUAUUCCCUACUCACAACCGUAUUGUUUUCUAUUACAAAAUGGGCCGCAAGCUUUGCUGGAUUCUGAAGGCCAUUGAUGUACUUAUAGCGGAGAUGCAUGCCUUUAGGUUCAAGUACUGACCACAGCCGCCAGUGCCCAAGCAGUGGAGGCAGACGGAUUCUGUUAUCACCGACCUGCAAGACAUUGCGAGCAUAUCCAGAGACAAGGAUAAGAAGAAUAUUGUUGCUACACUACUUGGUCAAGCUAACAAUGCAGAUUUCACAAUUGUUCUCAUUGUUGGAAUGGGGGGAAUGGGGGGCCUUGGCAAGACCACAUUAGCGCAGCUCAUAUACAAUGAUCCUGAAAUUCAGAAGCAUUUCCCGUUGCUGCUUGAUAACCCACAAGUAUAGGGGAUCGCAACAGUUUUCGAGGGUAAAGUAUUCAACCCAAAUUUAUUGAUUCGACACAAGGGGAGCCAAAGAAUAUUCUCAAGUAUUAGAAGUUGAGUUGUCAAUUCAACCACACCUGGAUAGCUUAAUAUCUGCAGCAAAUUAUUUAGUAGCAAAGUAGUAUGAAAGUAAUGGUAACAUCGAUAAAAGUAGCAGUAGUAGUUUUGUAGAAAUUGUAACAGUGGCAACGGUAAAGUAACUAAGCAAAGAGCAAUAUGUGAAAAGCUCGUAGGCAUUAGAUCAGUGAUGGAUAAUUAUGUCGGAUGCGAUUCCUCAUGUAAUAGUUAUAACACGGGAUGACACAAAACUAGCUCCAAUUCAUCAAUGUAAUGUAGGCAUGUAUUCCAAAUAUAGUCAUACGUGCUUAUGGAAAAGAACUUGCAUGACAUCUUUUGUCCUACCCUCCCGUGGUAGCAAGGUCCUAAUGAAAACUAAGGGAUUUUAAGGCCUCCUUUUAAUAGAGUACCGGACCAAAGCAUUAACACAUAGUGAAUACAUGAACUCCUCAAACUACGGUCAUCACCGAGAAGUAUUCCGAUUAUUGUCACUUCGGGGUUGUCGGAUCAUAACACAUAAUAGGUGACUAUAGACUUGCAAGAUAGGACCAAGAACUCACAUAUAUUCAUGAAAACAUAAUAAGUUCAGAUCUGAAAUCAUGACACUCGGGCCCUAGUGAUAAGCAUUAAGCAUAGCAGUCAUAGCAACAUCAAUCUCAAAACACAGUGGAUACUAGGGACUAAACCCUAACAAAACUAACUCGAUUACAUGGUAAAUCUCAUCCAACCCAUCACCAUCCAACAAGCCUACGAUGGAAUCUCACGCAUGGCGGUGAGCAUCAUGAAAUUGGUGAUGGAGGAUGGUUGAUGAUGACGACGGCGACGAAUCCCCCUCAUCGGAGCCCCGAACGGGCUCCAGAUGAGCCCUCCCGUCAGAGAUUAGGGCUUGCCGGCGGCUCCGUAUCUUAAAACACGAUGAAUCUUUCUCCCUGCUUUUUUUCUCCGCGAAAGCAAAUAUAUGGAGUUGGAGUUGAGGUCGGUGGACAUCCGGGGGCCCACGAGGCAGGGGGCGCGCCCCCCACCCUCGUGGACAGGGUGUGGGCCCCCUGGCCUUGAUUCUUUCGCCAGUAUUUUUUAUUAAUUCCAAAAAUAAUCUCCGAGGAGUUUCAGGUCAUUCCGAGAACUUUCGUUUCUGCACAAAAAUAACACCAUGGCAAUUCUGCUGAAAGCAGCGUCAGUCCGGAUUAGUUCCAUUCAAAUCAUGCAAGUUGGAGUCUAAAACAAGGGCAAAAGUGUAAAGUAGAUACGACGGAGACGUAUCACUGCUCUGGGUCUGUGUCUCUAAUACCUUUGACGUGAACUCCCUGGCCAAGAGUAUAGUUGAAUCAUCUUCCAGGAAGAAUAUUGAUACAGACAAACCACCACUGGAUAGACUUCAAAAACUGGUCAGUGGACAACAGUAUCUCCUUGUAUUGGAUGAUGUUUGGGACAAUAAAGAGUUACGUAAGUGGGAAAGGCUGAAGGUAUGUCUUCAGCAUGGUGGCAUGGGCACUGCAGUGUUGACAACAACUCAUGAUAAACGAGUUGCUGAAAUUAUGGGUGCAGCUAGGGCAAGCCUACAAUCUCAAUGCUUUGGAGGAUCACUUCAUAAAGGAAAUUAUUGUGGAUAGAGCAUUCAGCCUGGAUAAAGAAAAGCCCGCUGAACUAGUGGAGAUAGUUGAUCAGAUUGUGGACAAAUGUCGUGGCUCUUCUUUAGCUGGAUGUGCACUGGGCUCUGUACUUCGUACCAAGACCACAGUAAAAGAAUGGAAGGCUAUAGCAUCUAGAAGCAGCAUUUGCACUGAGGAAACUGGAAUCUUGCCAAUACGCAGUGCAGGAAUGGAAGGUUAUCGCGGGGUGUCGUCAAACCAUCCAUGCAUCUCGCAAGAGGGAGUAAAGCUUGGACUUGUUGAGAAACUUUCCAGCAUUCUCUAGUUUGGAGCUUGCUGAGUAAUGGUACUCUAUUAGCUAGGGGAAUAGAUGCUGGUUUGCAAUUGCUUCUGAAACUGAACUGAACCUGCAGUUGCUCUAGAGCGAGAAUUGUUGGGGCCUUGGGUGUAGAGUGACUGCUCGGCGUUGAGUCAAGUCGAGCAUCACGGUAGGCUCCCGCUCCUGCGACCCGCUCCCACCCCCGAAACCCUCGCCGCCGCCACCUCCCAUGCCCGUCUCCAGCGGGAUCCGGCCGUCCUCGCCGGCGCGCGGCCCGGGUCCGCCCCUCACCCUCCCCGGCCCUUCCUUCCCCGCCCCUCCUUCCGCCGUCGCGCCACCUCCCCGGAAGGCGGCCGGGGCGGCCCCAGCGCCUCUUCACUCGGCUUCGCCUCCUCUUCCUCUCCCCUGCCGUCGCCGGUGGGCGCCUCCGGCUCCGGCCCGGGGGGUGCCGGCGACGGCAGGAUCUCCUCUCCCCACGCCCGUGUCCCCCUGGCCCGGGGCAGGGGGGCGGCGGCGGUGUCGCUCAGCUGGGCAGCGGUCUGGUGACCCGGCGGGGUGGCCGGCGGCGGACGUGGUGGCGGCGGGGCGGCGUGGUGGUGCGGGGUGGCCGACGUCGCGCCCCCGGCCCAGAUCUGGGCCCGGCGGGCCUCAUCUGGGUCCUAGCGGGCCGGCCCCUCGGCGUGGCCUCGUUGUCUGCGGCGCGGUGAGGAGGAGGAGCGGCUCGGAUAUGGGGCGUCGGCGCCGAUGGCAUGCCGGCAACAGCGCGAAGGCGGGAGCUUUACGGGCUCACGAGGGCUCAGCAAGGCCUGGUGUGCUCCUGCUAUUGCGUCCGGACGGCUACCGUCACUGACGGUGGAUGUGGGGCCCUCCCGCGUGCCGACGGUGCUGAUACCCUAGUCCAAGGGAAAACCCUUGGCAGCAGCAUCGUCAUCGUCGCAAUCCUUCUUGGAGGUGUUGAUAGGUGCCGGCGCUUUGGAGUCUUGGAGCCUAGUGGAAGAUCCCGGUGGGCGCAGCGAUUGCGAGGCUUCUUCGUUUUUGUUGAUCCGCCGUUAUCGGCAUUUGUUUCUGUUGCUCUUUCUCUAUCGUUUCUUUUGGGCGUGACUAUGCUGCUUCCGCCCCAGCACCUAUCUCUGUAUGGUUCGGUUGGUUGCUUUGUAUACAAAGCGGGGGAAACCCUUUUUUGGUAAGUCGAGCAUCACCGAGUCAAAUUCCAGACCGCGCCAAGAGGAUCUAAUUCGGAUUUGGUUUCCUGCUGGUCCUUUGGGUCUGCACAACAGGGUCAGUAGCAGUUUAGUCUUCAUGUUCACUGAUCACAUUUUUACUGUAACGCAAUGUAACUCUCUGUUUUUUACAUCCCAGUGAAGUGAUGGCAAGUAUAACAGAAGCUAACAUAACAUCCAUACUAAGUUCUUCUACUACAUGAAGGUUGGUUACUCUCAUACAGAACUAGCCUGUUUGCAAAUGCUAGUUCAAUCACUCGCUCAUUUAUGAACUUCUCUCCAUUCUUUUGGCGUGAGUUCCCUCCAACCACUCUUUUUCUUGUGUUUUUGGCAAGAGAUUGGAAACUAAGCAUGCAAGUAGACUAGUCAUAUCAUUCAACAGUCUACUCACAUGAUAGUAAUGUCCUGAUAAACGAUUUCCGAAUGGCCUUCUCAACACAUAUCCCAUGCUCACAAUAUUUUCUUUCGAAAGAAGAGCUAUCACAGAUUAGAGGUGUGUAGAAGUCCUAUAUAUACUUCUGCCUUAGGAUGUGAAAGUGAGUGUGAUAUGAAUUUAUAUUUUUCCCUUGCGUCUUUAGCUUAUUUACAUCUAAAAUAUUGGAGGGAAACAAAAAUGUGAGAGUCAAGGAGGUGAAGCGAAAAGGAGCUGAAAAUCACUAGCAUUGUCGUGUCUUACUUUGUCCACUUGAAGUCAAAUUACCACUAGGCAUGGUAUGUGGAUGUAGGAGCCACGGUGGCAAUUGUAGCUCUCGGAAGAACACCCACCAUUCAAUAAGUACGCCUUGGGGCAAAUGAUUCCAGAAGCUUUGUUUCAAGCAACAGGCUGCCAGAGGUCUAACUGUGUCUUGUAGACAUGACAAUGCCUAAAAUGAAAACUUUGAGGAAACCUAAUGGAGCGAUGCUUGUUUCAGGGGAACCAGUAGUCGGCAAGAUCCCAGUCCAGGGGAACCAGUAGUACUGGAAUACGGACGACAAUGGGGCCAAGAGUGGAAAUGUAGGAGUGAGCUAUAGGAAGAUCAUCUAGUGUCCCAUUUGUGAGAGUGUGUGUGUUUUUAAAAGGGGCAAGUGCCAUCCCUGUUAACGAAUCGAUGAAAUGAGAAUUGCCUGAACUAUCACCUACUCACCCUCUCCCUCUGUUCUUCUCAUCACCUACUCCCAAAUUACCCCGUCCGAUGUGUGAAUCUUGUACCACCACUAGCAGGAAAUGACAGUUUGACAGCGGCAAUCAUGGUAAUUUUUCUCUGUCAGCACUCGAGAACAAUUGGUGUAGGCACAAAUCUAUGACAGGACGGAUGUUUUCUACUCCCUCUGUCCCAAAAUAAGUGUCACUGAUUUAGUACAAAGUCAUACUAACUUUGUAUAAAUCAACUUAAUACAAAGUUAGUAUGACUUUGUAUUAAAUCAUCUAUAGUAUAAGAAAAACAAUUUAUUUCUAUUUCUAUAGUAUAAGAAAAACAAAUAGUAUAAGAAAAACAAAUCGAAUCAAAUUCAUGGAUUUACCACGACCUUGGUUGUGACUGUGACUCCAUAGAUAAAAAUGGGAAAUUUCUCUCUUCGAGACCAUUGAAAAGGGCAUUGAACGAGAAAGAAAUCGUCCACAGAUAAUAAAACUAUCAUAUGCCUUGGAAAGUGAUAUGAGGUGCUCGGAAAUGGUUGAAGUAAUUGAAUAGGAGGAUCACUAUGACUAUAGCCCUUGGUAGAAUUCCUAAAAAGAAAAUGAUCUAUUUGAUACUAUGGAAAAUGCUUAUACAUAGUAGUUUAGCAGUCGUGUUUGUUUGGGCACCCACGCUACUUGUAAUUACCAGUAGCGCUGGGCAGAUAGCACGCUACUGGUACGGCUUAGCAGCAGCGUGGGUUUCUUUUGGGCACGCUACUGGUAAGUGUGCCACACCACACCAGCAGAUCAACAUAUACUAGCAGCGUUGGUCGUCUACCCAGCGCGACUGUUAAGUCAAGAUCUAUAGCGCCUGUACUCAGAAACGCGCUACUAUUAUUUCUUCUAUGUGUAAACUUUUACCAGUAGCGUGUUUUUCCACCCGACGCUAUAGCUAGCAAAUCAUAGCUGUAGCGCGCAUCGGUAGCCAGCGCUAGUGCUAUGGUCCCAGUCCACUCCCACACCCCACCCACCCGAUCCAGAUCCCCUCCAUCUCCCUCCUCUGCCGGCCUCCCUUCCACCUCCUCUCCUCUCCGCUGGCGCUGGGAUCCCCUCCCCGUUCUUUUUCAUCGCUGUCGUCCCCGUCUCACCCUCUUUCCGAUCCAUGGCGUGAUCCUUCGCCGUGUACACGUCUAACAGGCCUCACGCGCGCGCAGCCUUCCUUACUAUCCGGCCGACCAGGCCCAUCGCCGUGGCCAGCCCGGGCUUCUCCCAGCCACGGCGUGGAGGUUGGGCAGCGAGGCGGCCCCGAGGGUGAGCCUAGUAGCGGCACGAACACAAGCGCCAGGGAGACAGAUGGCGGACGCAAGCGCCGGCGAGUUGGUGGCUCCGAUGCGAUGACUUCGCUAGGCCUGGGUGGCCGCUCCGGCAAGGUGGCAACUCCAGCAGGCGUCAGCUCGAGCUUGGCGCUAGCAGGCAGAAGGAUAGGUUGAGUACCGCCUGCCGACUGUUGUUUUUUCAGUUUCAGUUUUAGUAUUUUGAUUACUCAAUUUCAUGCUAUCAGUUGCUCAAUUUUAGUUGAACUGCAUUUGUUUGUAUCAUCAUAUGUUUUUAGGUGAUGCCUAUAUAUUCGUUCACGUGUAUGUGUGGUUUCUGAAUCACAUUUGCCAGUUGCCACUGGUUCUUGUGUGCACAAAUGAUCCAACUCUGCGCACACUAGUUCGUUCAUGUGUGUCUGCAACUCUGCGCUAAUCUUAACACUGAUGUGUUCAUUGCAGAUGGACAGACUGCUUCAUCAUUGGAUAAAAGUAAUAGCUCAUCCUACCGACAGGAUUAUUAUUCUCACUGUGACAACAAGAAGGUGAUAUUCGAGACCCGACCUCCCAGAGGUAUGUUCAGAUAAUAGGAGAUUUCUAUUGCAAGUGAAAACUAUGAUCAGAAUGGCUAAAGCAAAAUUUAUGAACAUAUCAUUAAGUGAAACAGAAAGAAAAUACUAUUGAUUCAUGCCUGCUGGUUCUGGUGAAAAGAAAGACGAGGGCUCAAAAUUCCUGGCCAUUUCAUUAUUUAGCCUCCUUUGGUAAAUACUAUUUAGUUGCAGAGCUCAGUGAGUGGCUGGUUUUAUGGAACUGAAUAUUUGAGCCAUAUUCUGUGAGUUUGUGGUAGUAGAGAAAUGUCAAAAAUGAGGCUGUAGAAUGUUAGGCACAUAUGAACAUUAUUUAUUAUUGAUAGAUUAUGCCAGCUUCCAUGGAAUUCCAGUUAAACUGCGUGCCAGGAGUUUUAAUACGCUAUUCUUGUAUGAUUUUUCCACUUUUCUAUGUAGUGAUCUUGCAUGUAACACCUGUCCAUUGAUCCGGGAUGUUAUGUAGUACGUGUGGCAGUGUACAUAUUUUAUCCAAAGAGAGUACAUUCUCAUCUUGGAACCAGGGAAAGCUCAUGGGUAGCACAAGUCCAAGCAUCUCUGUUGUCUUCCUGACAGGUAACAAACAUCCCUACUGUCUUUCAGCUGAGUAUUAUUCUCUCCUUUGUUUGGGCUAGACUUGUGGCUUAUGCUGGUAGGAUUUCCAUGAUGCUGACCAUUAAGGAUUAUAUUAUCAAGACAGUUUUUCACUGCCUUUAUUAAUUGUUUGAGAAAUGCCCAAUAUAAUUGAAGUUAACUUUCAUUUGGGCCAUGAUUGAAGUUAACUUAGAUGAACUAGUAGCUUUGAUGUUCAUGAGCUGAUGUCAUUGCUCACCUUAGUCAAUCUUAAUUUGAUCCCGGGACUAGCAAUCCCGUGAAAAUCCCUUCAUUUCAAACUAAUUGAAGUUCAGUACAAAAAAACAAUUGAAGUUCUAAUGUUGUGCUAAGUCAAACUUCUUCAAGUUUGACCAAGUAUAUAAAAACUAUUUCAACAUCUACAACACCAAAGUUUCAUCAUAACAUUGUGCUCUCCUCUCCCAACCCACUCGCCGCUGGUGAGUACUAUCACACAGAGGAAACUAUGUUGCUCUUCUUUUACUUGUUUUUUGAGGAAGCUGUAGCCUGCCGCACGUGCAUGGUAGAUUAGUUCUGCAAGUAGGUAGUAUCUUGGAUUCCGCUGGACAUGUAGCCAUGGAGAUAAAAAAAAAUUAAUGCUUUGCGUAGGUUCAUGGCCCUGCUAUGUGCUUGCUCCUGUCUAUGUCCAUGAGCAACAGCAAAAUCAAUCGUUUAGUAGCAUAUCAUUCUUAGACCUUAGUGCUUGUCCUAGAAACUGGAUAUACCGGAGUCCAUAGUGCUAGUGCACUUUAAUUUUUGUUAAGUUUGUACACCCUGCCCGAGAAAGCAAUAGCCGUCACUUAGCUUUUUGUUGGAUGCCUUAUAGAGGAUGAAUUGGUUUAUUUAUGUUUAAUGUUGCCCCUCUUACAGAUUCUCGCUUAGAGAUACCAAGCUUGUUCUCCGAGAGUUCGAGAAAUGUGGCGUUAUAUUGAGACAUCACUAUGGCCCAACAGAGGGUAAUUGGAUAAUUAGUAAUUCUGGACAUCUUUGUAGCUUGCAAAAACCAGAUUGCAAGUAAUUCUUAACAUCUUUGUAGCUUGCAAGAACAUAUCCAAUUUGACUGAUUGUAGGCCCGUAUCCAAUUUGAUUCAUUCACAGUUUCUUUGCCUUGAGUUUCAAUCAAUUGUACUGGUGUAGGUAGUAUGUUCAUAUCAUACUUUGCAAUGGAUCAAAAAUAAUCUAAAGGUGAAGCUGUAGUAGUUUGGUCUUGCUUUCUUUUGUUCACAUUGGCUAACUUGAUAUUGUAACAAACGAGAGCAGAAGACACUGAUUAAUGCUAAUGAUUUAGUAAAUACAUUUUUUUUGUGUUUUUCUUUGCCUUGUCCCGCCCAGUAAUGUAUUCUAUUUGUCUGCGAAGACUGAACUUGGUGCCAAACAUUAUAGAAAGUACUAAUCUAGACUGGUAUCCAUGGUAACCAUGUGCGUUCCUGGACCAUUUAGUUUGAAUAACCAGUGAGGAAUUAAGCAUAUAUUUUUGGCAUGAGCUCUUUUAAAUUGCUAGAUGAGAAGGAAUCUUAACUUAAUGGGUCUUGUGAAUUGUAAUAUACUAUUUGGUUGAACUGAUGAUAUUUGCAUACUAACAAGUUUUCACUUUCCCGGCGUGGACGCAGGGGUGAUCGACGCUGACUAGCAUGGCCCGGUGGGCACUGUGCUCUUCAACCCGGUGAAGCCCGGCGGCCACAUCGCACAGAUGAUAGUCCAGGUGAUCAUGACGCCGAAGGUCGCCGAGGUGGAGGACCUCGACGCCACCGUCCGGGGGGAGGGAGGAUUCGGGUCCGCCGGCGUCUGAACUCCGAGCCUUGGUACAUUCAUCUGGAGAAGUGGUUUGUUUAGGUUGGUGGUGAACACUAGGGAAGGUACCUACGUUUUGAUGAUGGUUGUGUGUGUCUGAUGUUAAAUGGAUUCUUGUGAUCUCUUCCAGUUGAGAUGGUUCUGUGACCUUAGUUUAUCUUGCACUGGAUGUGUCUCUGAUUUCCAUCCAUGAAUACUGCAUCUAAUUUUUACUAUUCUAAUUCCUAAUUAGCUAGUAGUAGCGUGGGGGAAAAGGUGCAUGCUACUGGUCCUAAUUAGCUAGUAGUAGCGUGGGGGAAAAGUGCACGCUACUAGUACAUAGGAUAGUAGUAGCGUGGGUUACAAAAAAGCCCUACUGCUAUCUUCAGUUACCAGUAGCGCUGGGACAAACAAGCGCUACUGCUAAAAAAUAGCAGUAGCAGUAGCGCGUCUGCCAGUGCUACUGGUAGCAAAAAAACCAGCGCUACUGGUAAGCAUUUUCCUAGUAGUGUAUGGAUGACUAGUUACGAAGGGACCAUUUCGUUUUUGUAGGAUGGUCUGGCCUAUUGCUCUUUCCUUGUGCUUAUUUCGCUUUAGGGGGUUGGUUUACAGGGACAAGUUUUGUAACUUCUUGGUAUACCCAUGGAUUGGCUAGUUCCUAUUUGAAAGGGUGUAAUUUCUUAACCGCAACAGUUUCUACCCCUGCCAAUAGUUUAGCACACUCUUUGUUGCUACUAUGGGGGCCUAAAGCACAAGGAGAUUUUACUCGUUGGUGUCAAUUAGGCGGUCUAUGGACUUUUGUAGCUCUCCACGGGGCUUUUGCACUAAUAGGUUUCAUGUUACGCCAAUUGAACUUGCUCGGUCCGUUUAAUUGCGGCCUUAUAAUGCAAUCUCAUUCUCUGGUCCAAUUGCUAUUUUUGUUUCUGUAUUCCUUAUUUAUCCACUGGGGCUAUCUGGUUGGUUCUUUGCACCGAGUUUUGGCGUAGCAGCGAUAUUUCGAAUCAUCCUUUUCUUCCAAGGAUUUCAUAAUUGGACGUUGAACCCAUUUCAUAUGAUGGGAGUUGCCGGAGUAUUAGGUGCGGCUUUGCUAUGCGCUAUUAAUGGAGCGACCGUAGAAAACACUCUAUUUGAGGACGGUGGUGGUGCAAAUAACUUCCGUGCUUUUACCGAAAAAGGCUUUCGCCCCGCUUUAUAGAUAAAGCACACCGCCACAAAACACACAACCCCAACAGGUUCAGACACACACACCCAAGUAGCACAACAAAGUCAAAAGGUACUGCUGAGGGCACAGCUCAACAAGCCCAAAGAAACAGAAAAGGAAACCGGGCGAGGCCGGGCGAGAGACCCACGGAGGGGGCUAGUCAGGCUCCGGCGGAGGGGGCGGCGGCGGCGGCGACAGGCGGACGGCCAUCGUGCGGAGGUCGGCGAUGAAGGCGGAGAUGGCGUUGCGCUCCAGGAGACGGCUAAGCGGCCGCCAAAGCUGCAGGAAACCCGAGAAUUUGUAGAGAGCGUCAGUAGCACGACGAAUCGGAGUGCGCUCAAUCACAAGCUUAUUACGAACAGUCCAAAGAGUCCAGGCUAGGGUCCCAACCUCCAGCCACCUAAUGUGGCGGGAGGACGGGGGGGACGCUUGGAGUUCAGCAAAAAGGUCGGGGAAGUUGGUGUGAGUCCAAUUUCCGCCGACAAGCUCGCGAAAACAGCUCCAGAGGAACUGGGCAGAGGUGCAAGCGAAGAAGAUGUGGUUAGAAUCCUCGGGGACGGCACAGAGGGGGCAGAGACCAGAACCCGGGCCAUUACGCUUGCGGACCUCCACACCGGAGGGGAUCCGUCCCCGGAUCCACUGCCACAUGAAGAUACGGAUCUUCAGAGGGAGGCGGACGGACCAAACCAUUGAGAGGGGGGGAGGGGCGGCGGAGGGGGUAAUGACCGCAUAGAGCAAUUUGGUAGAGAACUGGACAGACGGCUCCAAAUGCCAUCGAACACGGUCUUGGACGCCGUCAACCAGCGGCUCAUGAAGAGCGACGCACUCAAGAAGCUCACGCCAGGCGGCGGAUUCCGUAGGCCCAAAUGGCCGACGGAAAGCGAGGCGCCCUAAGUCAAAUAGGGCCCUAUCAACAGAGAUCAUGGGGUCGACAGAGAUAGCAAAGAGAAUGGGGAAGCGAGCCGCAAAGGGGGCGUCAUCGGCCCUACGGUCAUACCAGAAUAACGUCGAACGGCCAGAUCCUACCGAGAUAGAGGUACCAAUGCGGAGCACAGGGAGGAGCUGGACAAGGGACUGCCAGAACUGAGAGCCACCCGACUUCUGGCAGAAGGCAAGGGGUUGGCCGCGCAGGUAUUUAUUCCGGAUAAUGUCCAGCCAGAGGCCCCCGUGGCCCUGCGAGAUGCGCCACAGCCAUCGGGAGAGGAGGGCAAUAUUCAUCCGUUUGGAGCACAUGAUCCCCAAACCCCCCUGCUCCCUCGGCUUGCAGAUGUCAGGCCAGCUGACCAUGUGAUACUUCUGCUUGCCGUGCUCCCCAGCCCAAUAGAAGCGGGACUGGAUUUUGGCGAUCUCCUUAUGAAGAGAAUCGUGAAGGCUGUAGAGACUCAUAAGAAAUAAGAGGAGACUGGAGAGGGAGGAGUUGAUAAGAAUAGUCCUGGCCGCCUUGGACAGCCACCUCCCCUGCCAAGGCUCGCAUCUAGUCUGGAGCUUGGUCACGGAGGGGCGAAGAUCGGCGGCCAGGAGGCGCGAGUGACUGAUGGGCGUCCCCAGAUAGGUAGAAGGAAACGAGCCCAAGCGGCAAUUGAGUCUAUUGGCAAUGGCCACUGACUCCUCGGGAGAGUAUCCCAUCACCAUAACAUCGCUCUUAUCAAAAUUGAUCUUGAGGCCCGACAUCUGCUGAAAGCAAAGGAGGAGGAAUUUGAGAUUGGCGAUGUCCAUCUCCGAGCCUUCGACCAUGAUGAUCGUGUCGUCCGCAUACUGGAGGAUGGAGAUCCCCGCGUCCCCGGAGAGAUGGGGGGCGAUGCCUCGGAGGUGGCCCGCAGCUUUCGCCUUAUCGAGAAUGGAAGCCAAAGCGUCCACGACCAUGUUGAAGAGGAACGGGGAGAAGGGGUCGCCUUGGCGCACCCCACAAAGGGUAGGGAAGAAGGGACCAAUUUCGCCAUUAAUAUUGACCGCCGUGCGACCGCAAGAGACCAUUUGCAUGACUCUCGUGAUCCAUUGGUCGUCAAAUCCCUUGCGCAGAAGGACUUCCCGAAGGAAGGGCCAGCUAACCGUGUCAUAAGCUUUGUGAAAAUCGAUCUUCAGAAAGACCGCCUUCAGGUGUUUGACCCGGACCUCAUGAAGAACCUCGUGCAGGACCAAGACCCCAUCAAGGAUGAACCGACCCUGAAUGAACGCCGACUGAUUAGGGUGAGUGAUCCGGUCGGCCAGCAGGGUCACCCUAUUGGCGUACCCUUUGGCCAAGAUCCGGAAGAUCACGUUUAUGACCGUAAUCGGGCGGAACUGGCGGAUGUCAGUCGCCCCAGGGACCUUGGGAAUGAGGGAGAUGGUCCCAAAGUUGAGGCGGCCAAGGUCGAUCGAGCCCACGAAGAAUUCCUCGAAAAUGGCCAUGAUCUCGGGUUUGACCACGCUCCAGAAGGUUUGGAAGAAGAGAACCGGGAGGCCGUCCGGGCCCGGCGCCGAGGAGGGAUUCAUACCCUUGAUAGCCUCCCAGACCUCUUGUACAGAGAAGGGGGCCGUCAAGGUGGCAUUGUCUUCGUCAGAGACUAGACGGUCGCUGGUCCAGCAGUCAAAGGCAAGAGAGAGGCCGCUCCGAGGAGCGGGGGAGAAGAGGGAGCGAUAGAAGCCAUCAACAUGGGCGCGGAUAUCUCGGGGAUCCUGAAGGAGAGUGGCUCCCUCCCAAAGGCAGGAGAUGGUGUUGCGUCUACGGCGCCCAUUUGCGAUCACCUGGAAGUAGGCCGUAUUCGCAUCCCCCUUCAAGACCCAACGUUGGGCGCCCCGAAUGCGCCAAUAAGCCUCCUCAUCAGAGUAAAUCACGGAGAGCUGGUCCUCGAGGUCAUAACGGGACAUCCACUCGUCAGGAGAGAGACCGAUCGCAUCAGCCCUGAAGUCGAGGUCCUGGAUCGCCGACAGGAGAGCCUUCUUCCGCUCCCUGGAGUCUCUUCCCAGGUUGGCUCCCCACCCCUUCAUAAAUUGUCGGGCACGCUUCGCACAGAAGUGCCACGCAUCUAUGGCGGAAGGGGGGCGGGGGUGGGGAUGGCCACGAGCCUCGAUCCAACGAGCACUGACAGCGUCGGAGAAUCCGGCCUGGGAGAGCCAGACAGCCUCAAAACGGAACCGAGGGGGAAUCGGGGGGCGCUCAUCCGCGGAGGAGAGAAGCAGGGGAACGUGGUCAGACCCAAUCCGGGUGACGGCAUGAAGAGAGGCUAAGGGGCACCGGAGGUCCCACUCGGGGGAAACUAGGACCCUGUCCAAGACGGAGAGGGUCGGGGAGGCUUGGCGGUUGGUCCAAGUAAAACGAGCCCCAACCCGAUCAAGCUCCCUGAGGGCGAGGUCGGCAAUGAAGUCGUUAAACAUGUCCAUCCGGGCAAAACUAACAUUGCCAUUGUUCUUGUCUUCCGCACACCGCAACAGGUUGAAGUCCCCCCCCCCGACAACUACGGGGAGGGAGGCGGCCGAGAUUUUCCGGUGAAGUUCCUCCAGGAAGGAGGCCGACCUACUAUGGUCAGCCGGACCAUAGACGAUGAUGAUCUCCCAUUUGAAAUUGAGAGAUCUCUCAAAGACCUCCAUGCUGACGAAGAAUUCGCCCCGGUCCAUGCUGCCCACCUCAAAGGUGGCAUCCUUCACGCCUAGGAGGAUGCCACCCGAGUGGCCUGCACUCCCACUAGAAGGGAGCCAGUGCCACGCAAAUAGGUGAGAGCUCAGCCGGUUGAGCUCAGGGAGCGCAAAGUCCCGGCGCAUGGUCUCCUGCACGGCCACUAGGUCGAUGCGUUCAUCGCGCAAGUACUGCACUAACUGGCGGCGUCGGCCAUCAUGGCCGAAGCCGCGGAUGUUCCAGAAUAGGGCAUGCGUCAAGGAGCCAUUGGGGGGCUGCUUGACCCCAAGACACGAGACGCGCUGAGAGCGCGGAGGGCCGCCGUGCGGGAGCGGGUGCGACCCCGGAUCACCAGCUCGGCCCCCGAAGGGCGGGGGGCCGCCUGCCGCGUCCGAGGAGGGGGGGAGGGGUCUCUAGGGGGCGCCUGGGCCGGGGGAGGGGGAGCCGCAAGGGCCGCUCGGGCCUCUGCCAGUUUCCCAUCCAGAAUCUCCCGGGCCCGAAUGGCCCCAAUCUGGGCGAGGGGGGGACCCACCUCCCCACGGAAGAUGAUCGCGGAAUCGGCGACCACUUGGGCGAGAUGGCCCAAAGGGACAGAUUCAAGAGCAGAGAAGGAGCAAGACGAAGCAGAAGUAGAAGGGGGGGCGGAGGGCGUACCUGGCUCCAGGUUGCGGGCGGCAGCGCGAAGCUCAGCCCGCUCGGAGAUGGGGAGCGCCGGGUGGCCCGCGGGGUGAGCGGCGUCCAACCGAGCACUCCUGCGUCCGGCGACCACCGGGGAAGAGGCCGACCGGCCGCGGCGGGAGUAGGCGGCAGACCGAGGAGGGGGAGGCUGGGCCACCAGGGGGGUGAUGAUCUGGGCCGCCACCUCCCCAGAGGGCGACGAGGGGGGGGCCACCAAUCCCGGCCCAGCACAGNNNNNNNNNNNNNNNNNNNNNNNNNNNNNNNNNNNNNNNNNNNNNNNNNNNNNNNNNNNNNNNNNNNNNNNNNNNNNNNNNNNNNNNNNNNNNNNNNNNNNNNNNNNNNNNNNNNNNNNNNNNNNNNNNNNNNNNNNNNNNNNNNNNNNNNNNNNNNNNNNNNNNNNNNNNNNNNNNNNNNNNNNNNNNNNNNNNNNNNNNNNNNNNNNNNNNNNNNNNNNNNNNNNNNNNNNNNNNNNNAGGUGGCGAGGAGAUGAUGGAGGCUGGGGGAGGCGAGGCCGGAGGGGGGGGCGUCCGCAGGAGACGGCGACCCACCCUCAGGGGCCGCCGGCGCGGAGGGGAUGGGGCCGCCGGUCGGGUCGACAGGAGCCACCUUCGGAGCCGGGGGAGAGACGGGGGAGCGCGGAGAGGAGGCCGGGCAGACCACCAGGCCGACACUGGAGAUGUCGCUCCCCUCGGACGAUGACCCGUCAGGGAUCGGGGGGUCAUCAGCGGAGGGGCCUGGGGCGGCCUGGCGGCCCUUGCCCCCCGGAGCCGGAGGGGGGGGCGAGGGAGGAGGAGAGUGGGAGUCCUCGGACUCCCCCUCCUCGUCAGAGCAGUGGGAGCGCGAGUGGUGACGGCCGUGGUAGUCUCCGUCGGCCCCCCGGAAGUCGUCUGGGGGACCGACGUCGAGGGAGCGGGGGCGCCCAACGUGGUUGGGCGGCUCGGGGGCGAUCCUGAGGUCGAAGCCCUGGUCGUUGAAGAAGACCCGGACCGAGGUGUGCAGCCUGGUGGAGUCGAGACACUUGACUUUGACCCUGACCUCCUCCUCCUUGCGCAGUGAGAGCUCAUCAACCACCACCACCUUGCCCAAGAGGCGAGACAUCUGGCGGAUGACAAGCUCUGACCGCGCGAUGUCAGGGAGACCGGAGAUGAGGAUCCAAGCGGUGUCGAGGACGGCCACGACCUGGGCGUCGAGAACAGGCUCGGAGAUCUCAACCACCAGUUGGUUGAGGGCGAGGGUGAUCCGGCCACUACGCGUGCCGUAGCCGUAGCUGACGGAGUCGGGGAAGACGACGGAGAAGAUGUGGCUGGCGGUGGGGAUAACCACCCAGUCCCACUGACAACGGUAGAGGUGGUUGAGCUCGGCCUCGAUCAUCUCCGGGGAGGCCACCCCGUCAACGACCGUGACGAUCGCCUGAAGAGAGGGCGAAGGCGGAGGGGCAUCCGGGACCUCAAGGUGGAAGAAGCCCAACCCCUCGAUGUCGUGGCCAUACAUCAUGAGCUCGGACACCACCGGUCUGUCCGGACACAGAAUGGCGGGGUGGCCCGGAUCCUUGCAGAGGUAGCAGCACUGGGGGUUGACACAGGCAACCUGGGAGUGCCCCCUCACCCCACAGUUGAAGCAAGGGGGGCGAGGAAGACCGGAGACGGGGCCCGGAGCGGAGGGGGCCCCCGGACCCGAGGAUGGAGGGAUGGUCGGAGUGGGUCGGGCACCCCGACGCUUCUUCUUCUUGGCGGGGCCAGGGCGGCCGCGGGCGGGAGCGCCCCCAGAGGCCGGACCCGGGGCCGAGGACCCCGAGGCAGCGUGAGGCGGGACGUAGCGGCGGGUGUCCGGAGUGGGGAGGAUGCCAUCACGAACCGGACGGGCGGGGGAGGGGGACCGGUCCCUACGACGGGAGGGCGAGGGGGAGCGCCGGCGGCGCCAGUUGCCCGACGACUCUCGGGGCGAGCGUGACCGGGCCCGGUCAUCCCGACGGGAGGGGGAGCGGCGGCUGUCCCGGAGCUCCCGGAGCUCGCGCCGGAGCUCCUCCUCCCGUCGGAGGGAGUCGGGGGAGGGCCGGGACGAGUCGCGAGAAUCACCCCCCGCUUUGCGCUUCGCCCGGGGAGCCAGGUCCGCCUGGUCGCGCGGCAUGGCGAGCCGCAACCGGGCGGGAGGGGGCAGGGCGAGGCGGGCUACCGGCGUCAGAGAAGCCGCCGGACGGCCAGACGAGGGGGGAGGCGCGGCGAGAGGUGGAUGCGGGGCGAGGGCGGGAGCAGAAGGGGGCGGGGGAUCGGGGCGAGACGAGCCCGAAGCAGGGGAGGCGGCGCGCGAGGGAUGGGCGAGGGAGAGGCUUCGAGGGAGCCAGAAGGCGCUGGCCGGCACCUCCCUNNNNNNNNNNNNNNNNNNNNNNNNNNNNNNNNNNNNNNNNNNNNNNNNNNNNNNNNNNNNNNNNNNNNNNNNNNNNNNNNNNNNNNNNNNNNNNNNNNNNNNNNNNNNNNNNNNNNNNNNNNNNNNNNNNNNNNNNNNNNNNNNNNNNNNNNNNNNNNNNNNNNNNNNNNNNNNNNNNNNNNNNNNNNNNNNNNNNNNNNNNNNNNNNNNNNNNNNNNNNNNNNNNNNNNNNNNNNNNNNNNNNNNNNNNNNNNNNNNNNNNNNNNNNNNNNNNNNNNNNNNNNNNNNNNNNNNNNNNNNNNNNNNNNNNNNNNNNNNNNNNNNNNNNNNNNNNNNNNNNNNNNNNNNNNNNNNNNNNNNNNNNNNNNNNNNNNNNNNNNNNNNNNNNNNNNNNNNNNNNNNNNNNNNNNNNNNNNNNNNNNNNNNNNNNNNNNNNNNNNNNNNNNNNNNNNNNNNNNNNNNNNNNNNNACGGAGAGGGGGGAGGGGGGAAGGGGGCGUCGUCCGCGCAGUCGGCCCACCGGAAGGAGGCGCCCAGGGCAGCCGGCGCGGGGAGCGGCGGCGGAGCCGCGGGCGAGGGGGCCUGCAGGGAGGGAGAAGGGGAGGGCGACAGAGGAGUCUCGGCGGCGGCGGCGCAACCGGCUGCGGGAGCGCCCGCGGUGUCGCCCGUCAUCUUCCGCCACUUCCGUGCUUUUAACCCAACUCAAGCUGAAGAAACUUAUUCAAUGGUCACUGCUAACCGCUUUUGGUCCCAAAUCUUUGAUGCUCCUUUUUCCAAUAAACGCUGGUUACAUUUCUUUAUGCUAUUUGUACCCGUCACCGGUUAAUGGAUGAGUGCUAUUGGCGUAGUUGGCUUGGCUCUGAACUUACGUGCCUAUGACUUUGUUUCCCAGGAAAUCCGUGCAUCGGAAGAUUCUGAAUUUGAGACUUUCUACAUCAAAAAUAUUCUUUUAAACAAGGGUAUUCGUGCGUGGAUGAAAGCUCAGAAUCAGCCUCAUGAAAAUCUUAUAUUUCCUGGAAACACUCUUUAAUGGAACUUUCGUUUUAGCUGGUCGUGACCAAGAAACCACUGGCUUUGCUUGGUUGGUUGGGAAUGCCAGACUUAUCAAUUUGUCCGGUAAACUUCUUGGAGCUCAUGUAGCCCAUGCCGAAUGAAUCGUAUUCUGGGCCGGAGCAAUGAACCUAUUUGAAGUGGCCCAUUUUGUACCAGAAAAGCCCAUGUAUGAACAAGGGUUGAUUUUACUUCCACACUUAGCUACUCUAGGUUGGGGAGUAGGGCCCGGGGGGAGGGGGGGAAUUCUAGAUACUUUUCCGUACUUUGUAUCUGGCGUACUUCACCUAAUUUCCUCCGCAGUCUUAGGCUUCGGUGGCAUUUAUCACGCGCUUCUGGGACCCGAGACUCUUGAGGAAUCUUUUCCAUUCUUUGGUUAUGUCUGGAAAGAUAGUGUGACUUUGUACUAAAUCAGCGACACUUAUUUUGGGACGGAGGGAGUAUAUCAUUAUUAGAAAGGCAUCUGAGAAUCACUAUGACUGUGAAGAUGAUAGAAGCCUUGCAUCCAGCGCUAAUGUGGUUUUUCAUUAAUAUUUUUUUAUCACAACAUAAGCAAAUGUGUUUUCUCUUCUUACGUCUUGAUGACAUUAAGACUGAUAGCUCCUUGCAAGAACAGAUCUAAGCGUUUAUUUCUUCAACGCAAAAGCGAAUGUUUUGUUUCUGUGCAUUUCUGCAGCCCAGGCUCAUAUGCUAUUUUUAUUUACAAAUUAAUCGUGCACCAAAUGGAGUAUAUGCCAUUUUAUCCUAGGGCCGUAAUGAUGUUAAGAUUUUGAUGGAUUUUGUACAGUACCGUAAUUUACUAUUAAUAAUUCCUAGUUUGUAUGCCACUUUCUCCAAUAUUUUCCUCUAGGUUUCUUUGCUAUGAUAUGCCGAUCUUUGGAGGGAGCCAAAAACUUACCUUAAAUCUGUCAAUUUCCAUUUCAUUCAUCUUUCACGUUGCAAGCAAUGGACAUGAAAAACUGUCUGUUUUUACUUCCCAGAUGUGAUGGUAUGAGCAACUCCAAUAGCUCCUAUAAAAAUCUUCCUAAGAAGUCGUCUUACGGGGUGUCUGUACAAUUUAGGGGAGGUUGAUGGAUGACUAAUUUCUCAGUUCCCGUAAACAUGUACCCCUAGAAUAUGUUUUUUUUCCUAUUUCUCUUUUAAAAUUGGUCCAUAACACAAGGUACCUAACAUGUCACUGAGAAAAUGAAAGGUGAUGUCGGUCAGGGAAGGUCCGACGAAGUGGGCGGGGAGGCGCAGAGAAGGUCUGGCGAGGCGGCUGGCUGGCUCGAAGAGGUAGGCAGGCGACACUACCAGCGGCAGAGCAGUGGCUGCAGGGAGAGGUGGGCGGGCUGAACAGCGGGCGGUCGCCAGGCGUUGGCGGACAAGUGCGGGCGGCAGGUGAGGCGGGCCGACGGCGAGGGGGCUGCGUAGCGGCGCGAGGGUGUUCGAUGUGAAAGUUCAGGCAGUUUCAGCCCACCAAAAUUAUAUGGGAAGGGUCAUUUUCCUGUAAACGCAAGGAAAGUUUGGGGAAAUUAUAAGGGAUCCUGUAAAAGUUUCCGGGUUUACCGGACUUGUUGGAAAAUUAUUGGAGUUUACAGAUACAAGAACUAUUGGAGUUACUCUGAGUAUGAUCAAAACAAAUGUAACAUGAAUAUUAAGUCCUACUACAUGGAGGUUGGUUACUCUGGACUAGAUCAUUCAUGAUUAUCCUGUUUGCAAAUGCAACUUUCAUUCAACCAGUCACUCAUUCAUGAACUUCUGUCCAUUCCUUCAUUUCCGGCAUGGAAUUGGAAACUAAACAUGCAUGUAGAAUGAUCCAGAGUAACCAACUUUCAUGUAGUGCCAAGCAAGGUCACAAGACUCCGCAGUUUAACCUGAACGGCUCAUUCAACACAUAUACCGUGCAAAGAUUUUUUUUCUUCCUAAAAAGAGGUAACAAGGACUAGAGAUGUGUACAAGUAUUAUAUAUACCCAUGCCUUAGGAUGUCAAGUUGGGUGUGAUAUGGACAUGUUUAGCUUCAGUCCAUUUAAGAUAUUGGAGGUAAACAAAGAAAAUGGGAGAGUCAAGGUCAAGGAGGUGAAGGGAGAAUAGACUGAUUAGGACCACCAAUUUCUUGUCUUGCUUGUAGCCUCGAUGGUGUAGGAACUGUCGAUGGUGAGUUUGUCGUGAAGAGAGAAAGGAGAAAACCGCACUUGAAGAUUAGUUGCUUCUGCUCUACAGCUAUGGUUAGUGUAUGGUAUACAUAUCCUCUAUACAGGCGUUACCACCUACUUCUUUUGUUAGUACUGCCGUUCCAUCAAUCAUAAGUCUUUCAGCCGAUCAAUUAUGCAACUUGAUUAUUUUUAUCAACAGGUGACUAUAUUUGUUCUACAGGUUGUAGUGAUUGUCCUAUAUGUACCUGAUAUCUCCUCGGUAGCCUGUCUAGAAAUUGUCGGCAUUGUGCACUACACAAUAGCAAAAGCGAUACUAGAUGGAUGAGAUCAAUUUGUUACUUUUAUACUACAUUCACCAUUUAGCAUCAAUAGUUAAUAUACAAAAUGAAAAAUAUUUCAAGUUGUAUAAUAAAGUGAGAGUAUGCUUUAGUCAUGCUUGGUCUUUAGUAUGACCACCUAGCCCCGUUGAGGGGAUCUCGAUCGGACUGUCAUUGUUGUUGUGUGGAUGAGGGCGGGGGGAGAAGGCCUGGUUUCUCCCGUAGCAAAUGGAUAUAGUCGUCACUGAUGUUGUCGGUGUUUGAGAGCUUGGUUAAGUGAACCUGAAGAGGCGGGAAAUAUGUCAUUUUUCUCUCUUGGAUCAAAUGUCCCUUGUAAAGCGUUAUCUUUCUACCGUGGAUAUGAGAAAAAUAAUUUAAAUCAACAUCCGAGUAAUAAUUGCCAUAACUAUUAUUUGAGUCUGCUGGUGGCACAUGUGUUCUCUGCAGCGUGCCAGUGGUUGUGACACGUACGAGAGUGAGUGCGUACAUAUGUGGCUGUAUAUAGACAAUGCAGCUUGGCCACAUGUGGUGGGCAUGCCACUUAUUGCAAAAAGACCUGAGAAGAGAAGCAACAUCUUUGCCCUUGUGAAACACAACACACCACCGGCACUAGUAUGCAUAUUUAGCUGACAGGUGAACACAGUUACUACCUAGCUAGGGUCCCUGGGUGCUUAUAAAUAACAUCCCUGUGGAUGCUCCUUUAAAGGCACACCACUCACGCAGUCACGCUUAGCGUCGAUCUUCACACACUUCUUCUUCAACAUGCCUCCAGAUUCACCUACCCUCGCUCUCAAAGCGGCCACCAUUCUCGCCAUGCUUGCCAUGGUGAUCCUUCCAUCCGUGGGGAGCUCCCCGUCGCUGGGCCAAGAAGAACUAGUAACGACCCCGGCACCAGCAUCGGGUCCGGCGCUGGCGAUGCGGUGCAGCGAGUGUGGCCCACACUGCACAGGGAUGUGCAGAGUCUCUGUUCCCCCGAAGUGCCGCAAGUACUGCGACGUCCCCAGCUGCGAGGACUGCCGGUCUUCCGCGAUCGGCAAGUGCAGGGUAGGUUGCACCACUAGUAGCUGUGACUGCGACGGUGAGGCGACCCGGUCAUGCUAUGGCUUUUGCUCUGGCAGUUCUUCGUGCGCGGACUGCAUGAGGCUAACUAGUGAGCAGUGCACGAGUGAAUGCAACGGCAAGUGCGCCACCACUUGUACGAACAAAAUCAACCAAGGCAAAUAGGUCGGCUGGGCCUCUUGGUAUGUAUCCAUACCAUCUACGUAUGGUAUGGAUGUUGUAACUGCCAUAAUAUCGUACCUUUUUUGCAGUCAAAUAAAAAUCUGGUACCUUUCCUUUACUCCUUGUCAUAAAAUACCUCGCAAAUUAUUACUUGAUGGUAAUUUCAUUUGGAAUUACAACGCGCAUGUCAUGUGAUAUUUGUAUCUUUUACCAUAUUUAGUUUUUCGUUUCAUAGGAUAUAUUAGAUUAAAGACCUGAACAUAGAUGGUGGUGGUGGUGCUACCACACUGCCACUACUGACAAUGUUGCCACUUACUACUAGCACCACUACUACAAAUGUUGUCACUUACUACUAGCACUACCAUUACCACCACCACUACCUAAAUUUCAGUGAAAUGGAUCAUUCAAGAUCUACCACCAACACCACCACUACAACCUAAAUUUCAGUGAAAUGUUAGUACAAUAAAAGUAGCACCGACAUACAAUGGUUCAAGCAAAAUUUCAUUAUCAUAGAAUCAUCUGUGAUAAACUUGAGUAAGUAUGGUUGAUAGGAAGCAAUAGCUUCAUUUUCUCACAAUAAUUAUAAAAGACAAAUUGGAGACAUUAAAAUUUGAUUGCUAGCAUGAUCAGAUGCAUAAAGUCGUGCUUCGUGAAUAAAUUAAAAUUUUCAAUUGUAUGGAAGCAAGGCAUCAACAAAGUUGUGCUUUGUGAAUAAAUUAAGAUUUAAAUUGUAUGGAAGCAAGGCAUCAACGGGAAAAGCUUAUUUAUUAACUGAAGUAUGGCAAGUGUUAGGAAGCAUGAAAUUAUAUGGCAGCUCAAGAUAACUAUUUUUGGUUGGGAGAUAAAACAUUUGUAAUGUAGAACAUACUAAUACUGUGGCCAAUAAGAGGAUGCAUGUUUUGUUACGCAUAGAUAGGAAUUUAACCGAUUUACUAUUGUCUUGCACAAUGCACCAUUAGGUAUGAAUGUGACACAAACGGGAGAAACUGAACUCCCCGACGUGGGAUAUGGCGCGUGGUCAUGACGGGAAUGGAUCGAGCCAGGGUCAUCGUCACUCCACACGAUAUCACCUCCAUUGUCAGCCAUCAUCGCGAGGACACACAAAACUAACAGAGAAAUCACAAUCUACAUGCCAUGCAAAGAUCCAGGGUGCCCCAUCUCUCUGAGUAAGGGUAUAUGUUUUUUUAAUAAGGGCGGUAAAUGUGUUUGUUUAGUAACAUGGGUUUUUUUCUUUGAGGGAAAUGAUAGAUGGGGUUGAAACAGAGGCCCACAGGUGGAGCGAGUAAUUAGGCCCAACAUACAGGAACCAAAUUCUGAACUGGGCCAUGUUUUUCCCAGACCCAACGUCACAAGCCCAGCUCACAGUUGGCCUUUGUCUCAAAAAAAAAUACCUCACAGUUCGCCUAUCUGCGUCCUCCUCGCCAUGGCUCAAGGUACUCACUCACCCCCACUACCGCCAUGGCUCAAGGUACUCACAGUUCGGCACCAGCUUCNNNNNNNNNNNNNNNNNNNNNNNNNNNNNNNNNNNNNNNNNNNNNNNNNNNNNNNNNNNNNNNNNNNNNNNNNNNNNNNNNNNNNNNNNNNNNNNNNNNNNNNNNNNNNNNNNNNNNNNNNNNNNNNNNNNNNNNNNNNNNNNNNNNNNNNNNNNNNNNNNNNNNNNNNNNNNNNNNNNNNNNNNNNNNNNNNNNNNNNNNNNNNNNNNNNNNNNNNNNNNNNNNNNNNNNNNNNNNNNNNNNNNNNNNNNNNNNNNNNNNNNNNNNNNNNNNNNNNNNNNNNNNNNNNNNNNNNNNNNNNNNNNNNNNNNNNNNNNNNNNNNNNNNNNNNNNNNNNNNNNNNNNNNNNNNNNNNNNNNNNNNNNNNNNNNNNNNNNNNNNNNNNNNNNNNNNNNNNNNNNNNCUGCGGUCCUGUCUUCAACCUCUCUGGUGUCCUCUUCUGACCUCCCGUCUUACUUCCUCCGGCCUCGUCAAUGGGUACGACGACGGAAGCCAGUCCGGCCUUCCCGUCAACACAAGGUAUCAGUCCUGUUCGUCCAUUUCUUCCGCGAUUCGUCUCACAAGAAUUUAAUUGAAGGGGCACGCCCAAUGGAUGAAUCAGCAAGGUUAGGAAACAGAAUUCAGUUGCAUAGCCUGACGGACAGUGAUGUAGAUGUACAUAUGUGCUUUUCUAGCUUAACAACUCUGCGCUUUCUGUGGAUAUCACUUCAAAUAAUCAUCAAAUUUUCCAUCUGCGACAUCACUAUCAGGCGGACGGGAGGCAAUUGGCUUCGAAGUUCCGUUUCUUGAUGAAGUUCAUCCGCUCAGUGGCGGAGUUAUAUCCAGAAACAGAAAGGUGCCAUAGCACCCGGGUGGCCCGACACCCCCUAAUCCGGUUCGUCGAGUGACUUCAAGAUUCGCGUCGUGGAAUAGUUAGUGCAAGCCGCAUGCAUUGUCAGGUUAAUUUACUAGGCAAUUUGCAGAGACAAAACAGGACCUGUAGUAGCCUGUAGCAGGCAGUGUAGGGCCGGCAGUAGUGGGCACGGGUAGGCUAGAGAUAGCCCUGGACGAGGCUAGGUGGCCUAUCGGGAGAAAAGACAACACAUUCAAAAAUCAAGGACGUCGCUAACUGUCACAUGUGUGGCAGGAAAGGAGACGCACUACACGUCUCUUAUGCAAAUAGAUUACCACGUCAUCGCAUGCAUGCAUGCGAGAAUUGUUUUUGAUUUUCAGUUUUUAAAAUGUUUUAUCUCUUAAAUGAAAAAUCCGAUUGAAGAUUCGUUUUCAUCAUUAAAUCCCUCGCGACGAGAUCUACAAAACUAGAUCUCAUAUCGAUAUAUUUUGGUGAAUUUUUUUGGUCAAAAGUUGCCAUGUCUAUUGCACAUGAAUUUCCAUGAUAUUUACAUUGAAGUUGCCAUGAUAUGUUUCAACUAUUUUCUUUUACAUUAAAAUGUAAAUUUUAACAUAUUAUAAAACGGAGAAUUAAGAAAUUAGACUUGCCAUGCACCAUAAACUAAAAUUGCCAUGAUACAUGCACUUAAAAUUGUCAUGGUUCAAUAAAAAAAUAUUUUCAUGGUCAAAGUACUGGAAUUGCCAUCAUCAAAAAACUAAAAUUGCCAUGAUCUACAAACUAAAAUUGCCACAUGACAACUUUAGCUUAAGCACUUUGGCAACUAUAGUGUAAACAUCAUGGCAACUUCCGGGCAAAAAAAAAAUCAUCGAAACAUAUCAACAUGGGGUCUAGUUUUGAAGAUCUCGUCGAGACGGAUUUAAUGGUGAAAACGGAUUUUUAGUUUACUUUUUUAUUUAGGAGAUAAAACAUUUUUAAGCCGAAAACCAAAAAGAUUUCUGCUGAUGUCAUCUAUUUAUACGUGGCAAAAUGAGUGGUGAUGGAGGCGUGUGAGCGAUCUGCAAACGGCCACACGUGUGGGCGUUAGUUUUUCCGAAAAUCAAUACACUGUGGAUGCAUUGGCAGCAUUAGAUUGCAAAUAUGAUCGUAGCCAUUAAUAUUCUAAUCCCACAUUUUCAUGAUCUAAUUUCUAAAGGACUGGACAACAUGUUAUAGCCUUAUAUAGGGCUGAGCCACCAAAUCCACAUUUCUCUCGGUAUAAUUUCUAUAUGUUAAUCUGCAGCAUCUCCCGAUGAACCUAUUUUAGGAUAAGAAUUUUUUUAGAGCAUUUUUUGAUGUUUUUUUUUAUAAAAUCAAAUACAAUUCAGUGCAUUCCACAGUAGGUUUUCUGCCCCUAGCUAGUGGUAAAGAACAAGUUCAAUUCAGUCUUAUGAUGUUAUUAUUGAUGCCUUGUUCAAAUCAAAUGGACAAGCAUGUACUGUACUAAUCAGUGAUUUAUAUCUUAAUACCGAAAAUUUGUGCUGAUUUAUGAAUUUGUUGAUCCCGAGGUUCUGCUAAUCCGUGUACUAAUAUUUUUUUUGGGCAAUUUGGGUUAUUUUGGUCUCAUUAUGAGGACUGUGCUAAUAUGUGUUACAAAUAUGUUGUUGUGCCGACUAAUUUGUGCUAAUUCUGAAAAUAUGUGCGUCUAAUCGCCAAUAAUAUCAUGUGUAAAACCAAAAUGUCAUCGUUCUUGAGGACAUGAAAGCGCUGAUUCCAUGCUUUUCCUGCUGAUAUGCACUUUAGUAUAUGAAAAUGUACACUUACGUGGUGUUUAAAUUUUCAACUCACACUUAUAGAGACGUGCAGUGCACCAGCCAACUGGCGCAAGCUGUACAUUGACGGCAUACAGUUUCGGUCUUCCGGUCAACAUAAGUUAUCAUUCGUGCUAGUCCGUCUUUCUGUGACACGAUUAGCAUGACUUAAGAGGCACACCCAUCUACGUGCCAGUUGCCUGAAUCAGGAGGGCGAGGAAGCAGAAUUCAGUUGUGUAGCGCAACAGUGAUAUAUGUCUGCACUUUGCUAGCUGAAUAACUCUGUGCUCUAUGUGUACGUCACCUCAAGUACUCAUCAAGAAUUUACUCCUGCACGCGCUAUGCAGGUGGAGGAGAAGCAGUUCGCGUGGAAGUUCCGUGUCUCUGAUGUCUGAGAAGAAAGCUCUUACAGAGUUUUCGUCCGCUUGGUGGACUGGAGCGACAUCCAAGUUAAUUAUAGUGUCCAGUCAUCCCUAUAUUUCAGUGUUUCUUCUGUUUUGUACCAUCACAUUUCAUAUGUGCAUCGGAGGAAAUGUGCAUUCUACAUGAUGGAGAGGAUCAUGUCACACAGUCCCCAUUUACAAAGCCAUAGGCAGUGGCUGAAGAAUUUUUCUUCUAGUGUCACUGUUGUUCUAACUCUCUGUCUUCGAUUUUGGUGCUUCCGUAGUACGGUUGCAAAGCUAGGCUUCAUCUGAUUUUAGUUAGCUAAGCUGAUAAAGAGAAUUCCACAUGGCCCUUUAUUUCCAGCUUUCACUGUCUCACAAUAACAACACAUAUUAAGCUCACCAAACUAGAUCCAUACUCAUAACUUACCUUUCAUCAUUGAAUAACUGGAGAUUGCCAAGUUGUCUUUUAUCAUGUCAGUAUAUUAAGUAUUAUGUAUUUUCAUAUGAAGAAGAAAUAAUCAUCUGGGAUGUGGAGUUUCGGUGCUCGGGCGCAGCUGUACCCGAAAUCCCACUCGUUGGUUGUCGUCUGGGGAUUCCCAUAAUGUCCUCUGACAAGUCUGCAGCGAUGCGUUAGUAAUUCGGUAUACGGCGCGGCAGCGUAUGGUACAGUGCCUGGGCGCGGGCCCGAAUCGUAGGUGUGGCGAACGUCCCGUGUGCUUAUAAAGUUAUAAUUCUGGUCCGUUGACCAGAUAGUUUAGCUGUAGGCUGAGCCGUGGAGCAUGGGUUUGGCUCAGGAUCGCGUGUCUCGACGGCGUGUGUGACACACGAUCGUGGGGCCGCAGUUAUGGAGAGGCAGCUGCCGACAACUGAACCCCGCAAACCCUUCCUCUCGGCGGUUCUCGAAACCAGCCACCGCCGCGGGUCAGCUAUAAUCCAUCCCCAUUGCCAUUGAUGGCUGUUGCGGUAAGCGACGAUGGAGGACGCUGGCCUGGACUUCCUGCUGGACGCGGUCGACAGGUAAGAGAACUAUGCCCAAAUUCGAGAUCUAUCGUUUUUUUGGCGGCGAGGAGGAUACUGGUCGACACCUGAAUAUUUGGUGCUCCUCCACGUCUUGGACAUGUAUUUGCAGAUUUCCCCUCUGUAAAGACUUUGCAGAUUGCUUGGAGCACCCAGAUCCGGUUCCUCUGGCGCGGAUUGAUGCGCCGAGCGUUCAGCAGUCUGAAUCGAACGCUGGUUCCGGGUGCGGGCAGCUAGUUGGCGGCUGUAGCCAGGAGCGGCAAGCAGGCGAUGGGAGCCGUCGCCGUGAGACAUCUCCGGCGAGGUCCGCACAGUCAACAGACCAGUCCCGCAAGGGUGAACCCGGAGGCGCUGGGGUGGACAAAAAGGUUCUGUAACCAUUGCAUUCCGUCUGCUCUGAAUUUUUUCCUGGAGUGCAACUCCAUUUGUCCUAGUACGGAGUGUAGUUCACUGCCAUGAUAUCUGUAACAAACUGUGACAGACUGACAGUAAUUGUUUUUUGAUGAACGGUUGGCAGAUACCAGGCAUGCUGAAUGUUGUCUCCAGCAGGGGAUUAGUCACUCGAUUUUAGGCAUGUCAACAAAGGUGCAUGUAUAGGUACAGACAAGGAAAUGUUAUUCAGAGUUCGUAGAUUCAAAAAUCUAGAAACCCAUAAGAAGUGGAACUCUAGUUGACAAAAUAAGCAGGAGGCAUGAUUUUUGAAUUUCACGGCAGACCAUCAAUAGUACAUAGGAAAAAUGUAUUUCCUGUUUAAACUGUGUUUGCUUUCGUUCAGGUGUCAAUUUUUUUGAAUAAGUUGAAAGUUUGUUUCCAUGGUUAGUGUGAGCAUCCCCGUCAUCAGAAAACAUAUUUUGCAUCUGAUAUCCUGAACUGCUUUUGGCGCAUUUCAGGUUACUGAGACUUAUAAUUAUGUGUUGUUCGAGUACCAGCCCCGCCUUCCAGGCCCUGUCUCCUGUUGUGCACAACUUACCAAGCUUGCAUUUUGAUGUAAAAUCAGGUUGCGUCUUGACAGUGCGCCACCAGACAGAACCCCGCGUGCAUCAAGGAUGAGUGCUCUAGAGACGUCGUUUCGCAAGUUUGCCGAGGAACCAACGAAAAGUGUGGUUCGUCCUGAAUUAGGAUUAAAUUUUGAUUCACUUGGUGAGGCGUAUAACUUCUACAAUUUGUACUCAAGGGAGAUCGGUUUCGGGAUAAGAUAUGGGAAAAGCAUGUUGAACGCAGAGAUGGUGAAAUCAAUGCAGGAGAUUGUUGGGAGUAGUCUAGGAAACAUUCUUGCACAUUGGUUGGGUUUCGAGUUUUGUUGCAUUAUAUGGAAGUGUUGGGAGUAGUCUAGGAAACAUUCUUGCAGAUUGGUUGGGUUUCGAGGACCGUCAGGGAAACAUUCUUGCAGGGGGGCUGCCUGGGAAUGGUAAAGUUACGAUACUAGCAAAUGGUGGUGCUGACUGCGAAAUGGGCCCAACUCAGUCGGUCAGUGUGAAUGCCCUAGUAGGAUUAGCUCCACCAGAUAAACAACGAGGGGCUGGCAGGCCAACGAAUAGCUGAGAUAAAGCACCAUAUGAGGGUUUGAGCAGGCGAACACGGUUCUGCAGUAUUUGUAGGUGCGAAGGACACAAGAGGACAACCUACCCCGACCGGGGAGAUGCCGCGAAGAAACGGCGCAGACCAGGGAAGUGCAAAAAAUGUGGCAUGAAAGGACAUCGCCGGAACACGUGCACGUGACCAAUUGGUGGGGUGCAGAAUCAAAAUUGUUAAACUAAUUAGUUUUAAAUUCUGUACUUGCAGUAUGAGGAUUUUCCGGAUUUUCCGGUGUAUCUCAGUGAGAUGUGCUCCAACGCUUGUUCCUCCAGUUCUAGACAUGCAACUAACUUGUGUAAAGGAGAAGAACUUGGUUCGGCAUUGUUGAAUAUCUGUGGUGGAUACACAUUUUACGUUGCUGUGUGUGUUCUGAUCAGGAUUGCAAUGUUAUUUCUUUUCUGCUCACCAUGCGUGUCUGGGACUGAUGCGUUGUGUGUGUUUAUGCUCCAAGGGAUUCAAAAUUUGAAUCAUCUGUCGGAGUAGAUGAAGAAUCGUGAGGGGUUCAGGGGUGUCCUCCAACGCCCGCCCCACCCCCAUGAAGACAUGGCGAGCAGCUCAUUCCUUAGCAGGCAGCAGGCAAGGUUUGAAAAACCAGCACGGUGACCUGUGUUGAGUGGCGCCUACACCUGCAGGCGGGACGACGAGGAGCUCUGCCGGCGGUGGCGAGGGAGCAUGUAAGGAAGCACAGGUACGAGGUGUGGUUAAGUUUUUGUUUCGCUUGGUAACCUCUGCAUGCUUCGGCGUCUGUAUCUUCUGCAGCUGCCUGAAGCAAUUAGGACGAUGGCGUCAACCACUGGGGGAGCUAUGUGGUAUGCUGCAGGUGCCAUGGCCCCCCAGCCCAUGAAUAUUUUGUGAAGAAACACUGUUUAUGAUGACACAAAUUAAAAUAAAUACAGUGUUUAGCCCCUCUACACAAUUAUAUUUGGCUAUUUGCCCCCUCAGUAAUAUCUCGCUAGCUCCUCCGCCACUUGCGUCAACUGCAUGGAGCUGCACCGACCUGGGUGAUGGAGCUGCGGACGAUGUCGGCGAGGUGAGUAGGGGAACAACCUGUUUGUUAGUACUACGUAGCCUGGAGUGUAGGUAAGCACGUGGUGACGUGGACCAGUUACGACCAAGACGGCUGCUAACAAGUUUGAGACGGCUCAGCCAGGCACGGGAAAGAGAACUGAGCCGUGCGGAACCAGGUGUUCCGCUCGAUCGGGCCGGCUGCCAUCGCAAUUAAUGGAGUCACCUGCACCCCACAUUUAUGUAGAAAUACAGCCAAUAUACCCUGCAGUCGGGUGGCACAAAUCCCCAUGAGAUCGGACGAUGAUGAGUGCGGGAGCAGCUGAGGCUGAGCUCAGAAACCAAUUUUCGUAAUCAUCUGCCCGUAAUCAUCUGCACACUCUCAACCAACCUGAGAACAGCAUACAGAAUGAUGAUGUAUGUGGCGUCAUGGCAGCCGCACAUCGGAUAUAGGACGGGGUCAGGCAGCGCUAUUUUUUUCUAUUUACUCCCUUUACCGAACAGUACUCUCGGUAAACUACCUUGGCACGUAGCUACACCACCAUUUGCGUCGUCCCGUCUGAUCGCUUUUUUUUGCCGAGUGACCGUAUUUGAAACUCGGUAAAGACUUUGUCGAGUGUUCGACAAAUGGAUCUCGACAAAUUUCUGUUUGCUGAAAAGGGGUAUGCCGAGUGUCCUUUGCCGAGUGUUUUUGGCACCCACACUCUCAGGUUUUAUGGUUUCUACCUUAGGUUGCUUAUUUUGCAUUCUAUGAAGAACAAAUGUGGUAUAGUAUGAGAGCAUGAAAAGAGCAAAACAAAGUAAUGCGCAAACAAUAGCCCGCCCCCCUUCCCAGACACACACAAACACCCUGCUGCCAACAACUCCUUUUCCGUACCGAGCACAAUAAUUAUUGGAUUGAUGUAGCGAUUUUUUGCAACCACUCAAAGGACAUAAAAACAAGGAAAAAACUGGAAACAUAUUUAAAAUUAACUAGCUAGUGGUGUCCGUGAAGUUCAAGAAAAAGCUAGAUUUUUUCUCGACAACAAGUUAAUGUGCAAAGAAUUAAUAAAUGUAUUUGCAAAAAAAGAAAGCAAAUAGAAUUAACGAUUAAACCAGUUUAGGUUUUCACUGCAGACAAUGGUAGUAGUCGGAACCAGAUACAAACCAAUAAAAAACAGGAUCUCAAAUCUCCAACCAUUAAAGAGUUGUAUGUUAGUCCUAUCUUCUGUUCAACCCAAAUUUUACAAUAACACUAUUAUACUUAAAUCUUUAUUAUUGCAAUACAUAAAUAAGUAAUUAAUGCACCAGCUUGCGGUUGUAACCAGGCAAGAUGAACCUAUGAACUCGCAAGCAUGCCAAUCAGAUCGACAUCCACACAACACCGGUAUGAACAUUGUCUAGAUAAAACUUUAUUUGUAUUUUAUUCCAUAAUUUAAACUAGUUUGUGCGGGUCACACAUGACAUUGUGUGACACUUUAUUUGUCACCGCUACAUCGACAUAUCCAUCGACUAAGCAACGACAAUCCAACUAUAUAUUACUAGAGAUAUUUUCUUAUCAGUAGGCACCAACUCGGGUGCCAACGCCGAAUGGCACAAUAGUGGUGGUGCCGUACACCGGCACGUUGACACUGCACAUCGUUGGCAGGGUACGAAGUGCAAUGGAAGUCAUCACCUCAAGUUGAGCUAUUUGGUGUGGCUGCAACAAGGUACCCUGGGGUACCUGUUGUUGUUGAGGCCAUUGACCCAGUUGUUGUUGUUGAGGUUGUUGGAAAGAACACUGUCCGAGCUGCUUCUGUUGUUGUUGGGGUUGGGAGACACCUUGGACCGACUGUUGGGGUUGUUGCUGCUGAGGUUGGUUCAAACCCUGACCAUGUUGUUGUUCUUGUAGGACGAUCGAGUAGAUGAUGGCACGGAUUGCAUCGUAGCGUGAUUGUUCGGGGAUUUGCGGCAGCUGCCGGCAACAUUGUUGCUGCAUCACAUGGCAACUACUCUGCCACAACAUUUGCGACCUAGCAAGACUUUGUGGCAUUGCCACAGGGCUGCAUUGCUGCUGGAGGAAUACCUUGCAUGGGUUUAGCUGCUGCAAGAUAGAUGGCUGAACAGAUGGUAUUUGUUGUUGCGGUAGAACUGGUUGUUGGUGUUGUGAAAAUGGUGGUUGUUGCAGUAGAAUUGGUUGUUGUUGUUGCUGCGAAAAUGGUGGUUGUUGCUGCUGCUGAGAAAAUGGUGGUUGUUGCUGCGAAAAUGGUGGUUGUUGCGGUAAAAGUGGUUGUUGUUGCUGCGGAAAUUGUUGUUGUUGCUGCGAAAAUGGUGGUUGUUGCGGUAGAAUGGGUUGUUGUUGCUGCGAAAAUGGUGGUUGUUGUUGUGAAAAUGGUGGUUGUUGUUGCUGCGAUAAUGGUGGUUGUUGUUGCUGUGAACAUGGUGGCUGUUGUGGAAAUGGUUGUGGUUGUUGUUGGAUGGGUUGUUGUUGUUGGUACCAUAAUAUUUGUUGUAGUGGUAAUGGUUGUUGUUGCAAUGGUUUCUCCAAGCUAGGGAUGUGGCUAGUCUCCAUUUGUGCAAUGGCACUUGUCGCCGCAACGGCGAGGAGGGCAAAGAUGAGGAAGGUCUUCAUGGUGGAUUGGUGUUAAAUAGUGUUGCUUGGUUUUGAUGCUUGUGCUUGUGAUGAUCAUUAUACUUCAUGCCUAUUUAUAGUAGCCCGUGCACCAUCUCUUUCCUUCUUUGCAUCAGCUUUAAUAAUUGUGUUUGGAUGUUUCUGAAAUGGAUUUUUGGUACAUUAUGGUAGGUUGCACUAGCUAUAAGCGUACUUUUGGAUUGAUCAUCAAAGUUGCUUUUUGGUUGUGCAUAUGAUUAUACACAAAGUACAUGAUGUUUGAAGUAGAUGACUUGCCUUAUUCACUUUACAUGUCACGCAUUUAUCAGGAUAGUAUCACUUCUACACCCGAUUUGGGAAAAAGUACAUAAUCUUUGCUAUAGAUAACUUGCCUUAUUCGCUUUACAUGUCAUGCACUUAUCAGGAUAUUAUCACUUUUACACCCGAUUUUGGAACCUUGUAUAGGGUGUCAGCCUUAAACAAGAAAAGGAAAAACUUGUGUAGGACUAAGUUGCAAUCAUGUGUGGGUUGUUAGGAUAUGCUCCAUUAUUAAAGCCUUACAUGUGGAGGGUUCUUCUAGACUCGAUUGUUUUUUAUAGAACUAACUAUGUAUUGUCCUUUAAGAUGAUAAGAUAAACUGACACCUAUAGAGCAUGACAUGACUCAUCGAAUUCCCUUUACAUGUAAAGGAUUGUAAUUGCUUACAAGUCACUAACAUAUAUCCGGUCCUAACUCUAGACACAUCAUCAUUAGUUUGAUCUUUGUGUUAAGGAUUUUUAUUUGAUCAGAUCAUUCUUUUGGCGGACUAAGUUUGCAAUAUUGUGUAAAUAUUUCACGGGGUGCACCUGGUCUCUUUUACUAAAUCUUUGGGGCAGGAGGUUGAUAUUUAUUUGAAUUGUGUAGAACAUUUACAUAGGUAACCUACUAGAAUUAUUAUAUGUUCAUUAUACUAUGACGACAAACAUAUAUAGUUUGGUUUACUGUGGUUCAUGUUUAGGUGUAUAAGAAUGAAUUUAUGUAUAUCGAGGUACUUUAUCAACCCAAAAUGAAAAAUGCCAAACAUUUUAACAUUUUUCAUCAACAAACCUUUAGAACCCCUAUUCGCGGCUAUCCUCCUAGAUCAUGGACAACCAGCAUAUUUCAUUUGUAGGAUUUUGACAAGGUCUUGAUUCUCUCCCACAUAAAAUGUUCUAGAUUGUUUCAUGGCAACUUGUUUGUGCCCGGAUAUUUUCAAUCUUCUUAUCUAGGCCAUACAUAUGUUUUUCUGUCAUUAAUCUAUUAACUGCUGAAUGAAGAGGUCCCAAAUGAUAAAGAAAAACUAUGUUAGGAGUAUGGGCAUCUCCACCACUUGUUUCAAUAAAACCAGAGGAUUUUAUGAUUAUGAAUUUGGUUCGAAAUAUGUUAAUGAUAUGUGCACUCGAUCUGAGCCAAUAUCCGAUGAAUUGAAAAGUGUUAAAUGGCCCAUGGAUAAAUUUAUAUUUGUUCACAAGUAUCAGAAAUCUGGAAUGGUGACACUACAUAUUCAAUUCAAAUUUGAAAAUACAUCUGAUCCCAGCUACGGAGGUCGCCAUGUGCCUCAAAGGAGUCUCCAUCGCAACUCUGGUCGUCUGCAAUUACACUAGAUGGCAGGCUAGUCUGUCAUCCAUCGUGGGAAUCCGCCGACAGGGCAGGUCAGAGGUCCUGUGGUUGCAACUAGCAGGUUAUUCAUCCAAUCUAUGUCCGUCAGUUAGUGCUCGAUCCUGCAGUAAAUGGUACUUGUAUGGAUAUAUAGUUGCAGAGAGGAAUUUCUUUGACUAGUGUUCGAUCUGAUUGCUAGCUGGAUUGGUGGAGAAAUUGCUACUUCCUCGUGCUAGGGCAGCAGUGGACAAUUAGUACAGACAGACCUGGCAAAAAAAUCCAAUGCGUAUAUUAAGUGGAGAUAGUACUAGAUCUGAUGUCUGCAGGAGAUACUAGUAGAUGUUAUACUGCACACUGGCACAGUAUGAGGUCAUUAUGUUGUUCUGUACAAAGUCUGUCACUUAGAUGUACAUAUAUGAGUGACAACCGCAUAUAUAUUUCUUGCAAAAUCCAUGCUUCCUUGCAGGUGGAAGGCCCUCAUGGUGCCCCCGAGACAGAGCCUGUUCCCUAUUUGGUACGGUGAGUAUUGAAUCGAAACGCAAAAUAUGCACUUAUUGAUUUGUCGAUCUCACAUUAUAUGCAUCUGAUAGGAGAGGUUAUCGUCAGAGGUUGUGGAACAAUCUGAAGGACACUUGUGGUUAAGCAGCAGCAUCAGGUGAGGUGUUCAUGUCAGUCAGUUGGUGGUCAGACUGGCACUUGUUUAAUUUGGAUGGUACAAUUUUCUAUUCACAUUGGUAAAUGCCAAUGGACAAUGACCAGCUUGGAUUCGCAUGUUGAAUUUGGAUGAUACAGGUGAGGAAGAAACUAAAAAAACACUAGUUAUGUGGUCACCUGGAACUCCAGAGUGUUUCUUGGUGCCAUAUAGUCUUGCUUUGCUGCAGUUAUAGACUUUAUAAAUGCCCUGAGCUAUUUUGGCAGCAUCGGUGUCGUUUCAUUGUUGUUUUAGCAGGGGCUUUUGAUAAAAAGAGAAGUGAAAAGAAAAAUAUUACGCACGCCUAGGUUAUGUCAUGAUUGUUAUCGGCUUUGUCGAACUUUGACCUCUGUCUUCUUCAGAUAACUGUAAUGUGAAUUAAUAAUCUCCUUCCACAUUUCCUAGGAUUAUAGAAGUUGGUAUGUUGUCGCAGCUGUGAAGUACUUAUCUUACCAAUUAUAGUGUCGUUACUUAGUUGAGGUGACAAUGUUGGAAUUAUGUGUCCUGCAACUAUAUUCAAAUUACUUGGAAUUGUUAAUAUUCGAAUUGCCUCAUUAUGAAAUUAUACAUGUAUUUAUACAUGGAAUUGCUUUACAUGUUUAGCAUGGAAUUGUUACUUGCUGGAAUGUACUUAAGUAAUAUAUGCUUAAGGAAGCUGGUCAAUUCUCAGUAGAAUAUAAUAUUACUAUUUAUAUUGAAAAUACUACCCGGGAACGCUGAUGAUUUGAAGGAGCUAGAUAGUGUAGUUAGAUUAUAGUCCUAAUGUUGAUCUACAUAAUUAGAGGAAUUUACAUUCUAUUAUGAUGUGUUGCUCACAAGCGCGUGCUCCAGGGACAUAACGGAUAGAAUCUGUUAACAAACAAAUACGAUCGUGGUUGGUAAUUUGAUUUAGACUCUAUCCAGGAAACUAGUUGUAACGACUAGGAAUCUUAUAUGUAUAAGAGGUGGACUCUUUGAAAAGACAGUACAAGAAGGUGCCAUCUCUAGUCCAGAUAUGCGAAUUGUGAGCGGCGCCAUGGAUAAAUAGACCACAAACCCUAAAUUUCUAACAGACAAGACGUUGAAAUUUUAUCUUGUGUUCGGAUAGCAUUAUUUGAAACCGUGAGUUGUCUGUUUCUGUACUGAUGGCACCCCAAAAGUGCUGGUUACUGGGGAGGUGUAUGCGGCAUGCCGAAUCAUUCUUCCUCGGGAGGCCCUAAAGCUUCAACUUGUUGAGAAACUGUCUGCACUCUGCAGUUUGGAACCUUACGGAAGGAUGCUGUGAAUUUCAUGGAUAGUGGGCUUCCCUGAUGGCUGCUCUGCUACUGCUAGCUUACGGAAUGGCUUCUACAACUGAACUGUACUGCAGUCGCUCUUGACUGAGAAUUGUUGGGGCCCGCGGUGUAGGGUGACUGCUUGGCGUUGAGUUGAGCUGCAACGCUGAAUCAAACCCUGGACGACACAAACGAUCUGAUCUAGAUUUGGUUUGAUGCUCGUCCUUUGGGUUGGUACCCAUGACAGGCACGGGUCGCCAGCAGUUUACUAUCAUCCAUGGUUCUUUAGCCCUGUGGUGUUCUACUUAUCUGAAAAACUUCUUGUUUUUGAAAUGUCAACUGGGGUAUAUAUAUUUUUCAAAAACAGGAAGUCAUCAGUUUGUGAUCAUACAGCAGAGGUGAAGAGAGGGGCAGAGGGCCAGGCAGUUACACAUAGAUUACAAUAUACAGACAGCAGCCAGGCGGGGUGUCAGCGAGCAGGGUUGCUAGAAUGAGCUGAAUUGCCUCUUUUUUCUACCGAACCUGAAGAUUUGUGCCUAACAUUGAAAAGGUUCCAUAUGACGAUGCAAUCCAAAUUGCCUUUUCGAUCGACUACUCUCAUAUGUAGUAGGUUAUACCAAUGACAACAACAGCAGAUUUAUAUCCCACAAAAAACAUGCAGCAGCAGUGCAGCUGAAGCUAAAAUAUAUAUGUUGGUUACUGAAGCUAAGUCGUAAGCACUUUUCACGGUGAUGAUCCAGGCUUUUCCUUGUUUCCACAUAAUUACCUGAGUUCAAUGAUCUGCAUUUCUCAGGUAUCGCUUGUUUCAUACAUCGAAUGCUAUUUAUCGGCCUAUCCAUGCAAUUUGAAAAUUCACUGCUGAAUGUCGGUUGUGUUCUGCGAAUAAGUGAAUGGUGGUGGUUAUUUGAAACCUAUGCCCAAUUGUGGUGGUUACUUGCAAUAUACUCCUAGAGCUUAAAGCACACGUUUUGGGCAGUAAGUCAGAUAUAUGCAUUAUAGUUUCUUUCUUGAAAGCUAUGUGUUAUGUGACACUGAUCAGACUACUAGUUCUGGAAACAAAUACAUGUGCAGAUGCCAUGCCAGCUUAUGCAAGUUGGUUAACAUUUUUGAAAAAUGAGUGGCUGUGUGCAUCACACAUAGGCCUGGAUUUAACCUCCUUUCCCGGGGGAAAAGGCAAGUUACUUAAUAGUUACAAUCAGGUUAAGUAACUGAAGAAAUUAAGCAGUUGACCCAAAUGCAGCUUUCAGGCUGCCCCAAGCAACAUUAAACUGGGCUUGUGUAAAAUAUUAGUGCAGUUUAUGGUCAGAUGGCCUUGUCGAGAUCGAUGAUGGAUAUUUUAUUUUGGUUGUAUGUUUCGAUCUAAUCCAUAACUGAUGAUACUACAUGCAACUAGGACACGAGUGAAUAAUCUACUUAAGAGCUGCAUCAUGAAGGGAAAACAAGUAAGCUAAGUACAUGGAUUAGAGCAUCUGCACACAUCUCAAGUGGUUGACUUAAGACUGAUUAACAAGCUUAUGUUGUUUCUUACUGAAGCUAGAGCAGACUUGUAUUUCAAGGAAGCGAGAAUGUAUAUAAGUCUUGCUCACGUCUCCUUCCCCUCUCUUGUACCUAUAACUAUCUAUCUCUCCAUUACCAGAUCAUCAGUAUUUACUUGUAUGACGGCAAAAAAUAAUAACAAGAAAAAUUUCACUGCAGAACCUCCUUCAGGCACAAAAUAAUGACCCGAGGAAUAACAAAGUUGGUUUCAAUGAAAGUAAUUAUCGAAGGAGGUUUCAAUACCCAAUGAAUUUAUGUAUGAUUGACUAAUGGUCCUACCUUUUCCAUAAUAUGUUGCUGGUUUUCCUUGAUAAUUGUUUGGAAAGCGUUGAAUUUAGCAUGUUUUAAUCACAAGUGGCCUUCUGAUCCGUCUGUUAUCAUGUUUAGGGUAGCUUACUGGAAUAAUGAUUGGAGUUCCCUGUAGGUGAUGGAGGACGCAAAACGAGCGCUACGACGGGACGCAGGACUUCUGGAAUGAGUCACAACUAAAGUUUUUCAAGCCAGAAAAAGCUUGGUGCCAUGGAUUCCCCGGCUGGAAGAUGGGACUUGAAUUUGGGAUUGUGUCUAUUCCAUUAGUGGUGUUGUCCUGGUUAAUAGCUGGGUGUUGGCAUCGGCAUGUUCAUUGUAAAACACUGUGUAUUUUCGUGUCUUCGUUGUGUUGGUUGUUCCCCUACUCUGUUGCUCAGCUAGGGUUGCAAGGAGGGAUGCCUUAAAAACUUAAUUCCGUGUCCGUGUUGUGUUGGUGGUGGUUGCGUUUUGGUUGUAAAAACCACUUGGUUUCAUUAAUGAAACUGAUAAAAAAAAGUAAGCAUAAACCUUUCAGUGGAAUAUCCAAAAAAGUCCAGGCCAACUGUUUUGAGAGAACAUUUUGCAAUAAGAAAAUUUAGUAGCUACAAUCAGAAUAGAAAUGUUCUUAUCUGAUUCACAUGUUAUCCAUUUGUUCUCUUGUGUUUAAGUGAGUAAUUGCACCAAUUUCGAACAUACAAUAGGUCGUCAAUGUAGCUCAUAUGAAGUGUGCAAUAAGUAAUGAUCCGUGGUAUGGGAGUAUACUCUUCAUAUUCACAUUGACUACACAAACCAAACUUUAUUAUCAGAUCCACACUGACAAGAUAUGAUCCCAAACACACAACCAAACAUAUAUCAUAACUAUAACAAACAAAUGGACAUGGAUUUUUGAAUUAAUAGAAUAUCCCAGGCUAAAAAUCCACAGAUUACUUGAAAAGGAAAAAAUUGACAAAGCUUGUACAGUUCCUUUCAUAGCUACCCGUAUAUGGGUAGCUACAGCCCACCUAGUUUUUGAACAUAUUAUUGGAUGGUGGCGCCAGAUGUAGUGUCCUGCAAAAAAAAGGUAUAAUCAACAUGGCUACAUACCAAGAAACCAAUCAUUAAGGUACUGAUGGAAAUUUGUCAGGAAAAUGUAACAAUCAUAAUGCCAGAUGACUAAAACUAGCUUUGAAAUUUAUAGGCUUAUUUGUUACAUAACCUUAACUACGUCCAAUUGUCAAUACCAUGACGUUUAAAUUUCUUUCAGCUGGACAAGAUAUACAUGCUAGAAACACGAAGAAAAAUAUAUACAGAUUAAGUAGUUGAAUGUAUGUACUUACAGAAGCUUUGACGUAGAAUGCAUGGAUAUUGAGUUCUUUAAUAGUUUGGAACGUAGGGGGGUUGGUGAGUGCGUAAUACUUGAUGAUCCCACGUGCCAUAGCAAACUCUCCAGUCCCACCCAUAAUGGCCAUCUGGCCUUGGCCUGUUUGAAAAUUGAUCCCCAUCGCUUCGAAUGAUGAUCCAUUGUACCUGAUAUAGUUUUAUAGGGCAAUAUCACAUAUCAUAUGAAACUGGAAAAUCUUUAGUAUUUGAGAUCUUUGUAACAAACCAUAUAUGCUAUAUAACCGGGAAAACUAAAACUUGUACUAGUCCAAAAGUAUAUAAAAAUGACCUAGAGUUCUUCUCGAACACCAUGCUGAAGUAGUUGAACCAGCCUGGACCGGCUACAUCAGCCUGCACUUGCAUGCCUUUGGUACGGGCAACAAUGGUGGCAGUAGCGGGGUUUGGUCCAUCAAUCACAGUCCAGUCGGUAACUGCAGUUAGACCAAACUCUGAUGGUUUGCUGGAGGUAACAAUUGCUACCUGGUUGAUGCCUGGUCCGGCGGCGAUUUGGUGCAAGUACAAGCGCAUGUUAACCUCGGACUCACACUGAAGAACACAGGAUAGGGAUGCAGAUGCCAUGGAUAGAAUGGAAUGCAGGAUUAGGAUCAUGGACAGGACUAAAAGGCUAGGGCUAGCCAUUUCUAGCUAGGAUUUUGGCUGGCUGAAGAAGAUGGUAGCUAGGAGGUGUGUCCGUAAACUGACUCUUUCCUUUGUCGAGUGUGUUAGCUGUGUGAGAGACACUUGAGUCUAGGGUACUAUUUGUAGUGCUCCAGAACUAGCUAGCAUAUUCGUUCCAUAUCCUCUUUUUUCAUUUCUCUUUGGGAUGAUCCAUUUCAUAUCCUUUUUAGUUUCUUUUUUUUUCAACUGUCAUUUCAGUUAGGAUAGACAACUACACAUGUGUGACUGAUUCCUUGUACAUCUAUCAACCCUCGGAGAUCACAAAGGUCAAGUGCCUUUUGAGGAACUACCCUUUUUUCCUUGAAAUACAAUGUGUACAUGGUAAUGCAGCAUUGACAAAGACUAAAAUGAAUUAGACGCCCAUUCUUAUCUUUACAUCUAAUUGUAUCUCCGGAUGAGCAGCAGCCUAGAUUUUCCACCUGGACAACGAGCACACUGUCACUACUCCUACAAUACAAAGUUCAAAUACAAGGAUUCAUCGCCGUUGAAUCUGUGAAUCGAUGCGCCGCUCCCCCGCUCCCCCGCUGGGGAAUCGGGUAAAAGGCCGCUCCCCCGCUCCCUAGGGUUUCCCCGCCGCCGCCGGCGGCUCCCCCGCGCGGAGCCGCCGCCGCGGCGGCCGGAGACCGCCGGAGCCGCCAGCCCCCUCCUCUCCCCGUUCCCCUUCUCCUCCCCCCACCCCUCCUCCGCGCCCCCGUACCCCCGCGCCGCCUCCCCGAGCGAGGCGGCCGGGGGCCCUUCCUCCGUGCGCCUCCAGCCCCUCCCCACGCCCAUCCCUCCUCCCGCCGCCGUCAGCCUACGCCGCCGGUCCUCAGCCGCGUGAUGCUGGCGGCGGUGGGCUUGCCCUUCCCCGCUCGCGGUCCUCCCCUGCUCGGGCGAUGAUGGCCGGAGGCGGUGCGCCUUGGCCGGUGGUGGUCCGGCGUCCUUGUUGGAGGCCGGCGGUGCUCGCCGUGGUGGUGCCGCCUCUUGGCGGCGGGGUGGUCCGGUGGUGCUGGCCGGCUGGGGGCGUGUCCCCGGCCCAGAUCUGGGCCCGUAGGGUCCCUUCCGGGUCCUUGCGGGUUGGCUCCGGCGCGACCGUGACGCUCUCUGUAUGGGGAGGCAGGGGAGCGGCUUGGAUUGGGACAGCGACACAGAUGGUGUUCCAGCUGCUGCGCGGAGGCGGGAGCUGUCCGGGCCUUUGACGGCCCGGCCGGGCCUAUGGGGCCACGGGCCCGGUAGGCUCCUGCCAUGGCGUCCGGUCGGCUACCGUCGUGGACGGUGGAGGUGGGGCCCUCCCGUAUGCCAACGGUGUUGUUGCCCUAGUCCCGGCUCCUCUUCUCCGUUGUGCAGACCAUCUUCGUGGUGCCGUGGUGAGACAGCGUGGGAAGCUUCAUGUCCGUGUUGGCGCAGGGUGGUGGCCGGUCUGGUGGCGAGCUCCGGAGUGCCUGAGGUAGAGGCUGGGAUCGGGAGAAAUCUCUGUUGGCUUGGUCAACACCGACGUGGUGGCGUCUGAGGGUGCCGCCGGACCUUCCUUGAGGGCGUCGGGGCUACCCUUCCUCUCUCCUCGUCGUGUACCGGGGGAAACCCUUGGCAGCAGCGUCGUCAUCGUCGCGUCCCUUCUUGGAGGUGUUGUUGGGUACCGGCACUUCGGAGUCUCGGAGCUUGGUGGGCGAUCUCCGGUGGGCGCAGCGGUCACGAGGCUUCGUCGUUUUUGUCGAUCCACCAUUAUCGGCAUUUGUUUCUUUUCUUUUUUCUCUUUCCAUUCUUUUGGGCAUGUUUGUGCUGCUUCCGCCCCAGCCCCUAUCGUCGGUUGUAUUGGUUGAUUGCUUUGUAAUACAAAGCGGGGGGAAACCCCUUUUCUCAAAUCCAAGGAUUCGUGCUGCUUGUAAGUUAGAUACAUAGUUCAUCAAAUGACAUUUAAUUAUCUGGCUCAGUUUAUAGCUGCGAUUGGAGAUGCAACCCCCCACCCAUGGAACCCAGGUCAAAAGCUUUCCUUUCACCUCUUCUUUCCGCCGCCACCGACGUCGCUGCUCUUGUUGGGGCAGACUUGAUGCCAAAGACAGGAGGAAGCGGCCUUGGCAACAUCGCUGGUCUUGUUGAGGCAGCCUUGAUGCCAAAGACAGGAGGAAGCCGCCACACAACACUUCAGUUUGGUGGUGCUCUUCAAAUACCGGAUCUCGAUUUCCAGAGGGGAAACUCUAGCUCAGGCCUUCAUUCACUGUACGUUGGAAUGGCGAUGUUUCGACAUUGUUCCCUUGUUGAAGACAUUGUCUUGAGAUUGCUCGGAAGUCCUAUUCAGGGUGAAAACUCAUGAUCUAGCCUCUAUUAGAUUGGUGACAACAGUGAUCAUCCCUUUCCUAGAGGUGUCGUUGUUGGAGAUCCUUUCUCAUAGUUCGGGUAGUUCCAUUAGCGCAGGUUGGUGUUGGCCACUGAUGCAUGCCAUUGAUUGCUUCAACAUGAAUUUUGUAUGUCCUGUCUUUUUUUAAUAAUUUGGAUGUGUGCAACCCUGAUGGCUGGAUUAGCACAUUGCUUCUUGUAGAGGCUGCAGGGUGGAUGGGAGUGGGGCCGGGGGCAGUGGUGCCGACCGAAAACUAGCAAAUUUACUAUCAUCUUGAUUAACAUAUUUUUAGCGGUUUGUUCCUUGCAAAAAAAGACUAUCAAUGUAUCAAUUAUGCAAGCUAGUUUAAGACCAUUCACAAAUUAUUAUCAAAUGGUUCUAUUAAUGUCAACUGCAUUCAGGAGUCAUGCAUGACGUCAACCAUGUCAAAUUAUUGAAGGUUUAACCUCUGGCUUAGAAACAAAACUUAUGCGUACCAUAGGCCUGCAAAAAUUAAACCACUGUACAUGACAACCACACAAAUAUAAUACCUAGUGGGCAACCUCCGUACGACAACCACAGAAAUAUAAUACUUUUGACAAGUUUAUCAAUGCUACUUGCGUGUUGUCUAAUAAGUAGUGACCUUCAUAAGGAAUUGCGUCGAUCCAAGGAUAACAUCUUAAUUAGCAUACUACUAAGAUUCGAAGACAUAUACUCUUGAAAGUCAGUUGUGCCAUUAGUCAGAUGUGUAUACAGUAUACAAUCCAAUUGUAUGUAUAUGUAUGUCAGUAUGUGUGCUCAUCAACGGUUCACCAUGUUUUGAAGCAACCCAGUCAUCAGUAUGACCGAGUGUUCAGAUAUAUCCAGUAUACAUGCAUUCACGAGUGCUCUUAUUGCUUGUGUGUAACCCAUGUGGUGUGUUUGUUGAUGUAACUUCAUCAAAUAUGCAUCUAUAAUUGAAGGGAGAACCUAUCCUUCAAUUAUGGAUUAGUCGAUUUUCCUAGCCUACUGUUUAUCUUUUUCGCCCACCCUUCUCCACUUCUUUGACCCGUUCCCAACCGUCUGCCAAGCCGUCUGCUAUCUGUGGUGCCGCCAGCCACGCCGUCCGCCGUCGGUGGUGCUUCCGCGUGUGCCCCGGAGCCCUGCCCUGCUCAGUUUGAGCCGCCAUCUCUGCCAUCCCUCUGCACCCUGGCCAUCCCUACAAACCUCCCCACAGUCCCUGGNNNNNNNNNNNNNNNNNNNNNNNNNNNNNNNNNNNNNNNNNNNNNNNNNNNNNNNNNNNNNNNNNNNNNNNNNNNNNNNNNNNNNNNNNNNNNNNNNNNNNNNNNNNNNNNNNNNNNNNNNNNNNNNNNNNNNNNNNNNNNNNNNNNNNNNNNNNNNNNNNNNNNNNNNNNNNNNNNNNNNNNNNNNNNNNNNNNNNNNNNNNNNNNNNNNNNNNNNNNNNNNNNNNNNNNNNNNNNNNNNNNNNNNNNNNNNNNNNNNNNNNNNNNNNNNNNNNNNNNNNNNNNNNNNNNNNNNNNNNNNNNNNNNNNNNNNNNNNNNNNNNNNNNNNNNNNNNNNNNNNNNNNNNNNNNNNNNNNNNNNNNNNNAACCUGUCAAGCCAUUUUCCUCUCCUCCGUCUGCGACCGUGCGGCUAGUCACGACAUCCCGUCUCGUGCUCGAUGUUGCGGUGUGUUGCUCUCUGCAAACCGAGUUGGAUGACGCGAGGAAAAGAAUCAAGACUGAGUAAUAGAAAUUUCCAUGAUUGAAUAUUUCAGUUUGGCAAAACUUUUCAUACAUUUCUAUGGAUUUUCACUGUCAUAGAAACAAAAAAACGUAACAAGGAAAGAAGACGAUGUCCCUUCAUAGGAUUGCAUGGAGGUAACAGAGAUCCAUGUCUUGAAAACGUGGGAAAGAAAGGAGCACGCAAUUGAAAACAAACACCUCAUAAAACUUACACUAGUGCAUACUACGUCGUAAGAACAUCUACAACCGAACCCAAAUGUGACCCCUACACGUCCGUGGAUGCGUCCACAGACAGCGACCGGUCACCCCUUAUAUCUCCGCGUCCUCUUCCGUCCCCCUCAAAUCCAUGCUAACAACAAAACGUCAUCAACAUUUUAUGUAGAAACAAUUUGAACAUAGCAGUAUAAAAACAUAUAUAUUGGGAAUGGCAAGUUUCAUACAAUCGGACACAAAAUGUCCAUCAUCACCUAGAUAUGAUAAGCCUAAACAAUAGAUAAACUCCUACAUGUAGGCGUUGGCUGUCGGAGGGGAUUUGUCGUUGUCCUCGCUCAUCAUGCCGCUGACAUAGGACAGCAUCGAGGAGAUGAUCCCGACCAGACGCCGGACGGCGCAGGCCUGCUCCUUGGUGAGUCGGGCGGCUCUCGUGAGGUUCCUGAAAUCGUCGAUGUCGAGCCAGAGAGCCUUUGCAGUUUUCCUACGUCGGGCAUCCAUCUCUGCUGAUGUCAAUUUUCAGAGGCUGACAUCACGGAGGAGCUCCUCCUCCAGGUCAACCAGCGUGGACCUACAGAAUUCGCAGACACUGCAGGAGGAACCAGCAUUCUCACAGACCUACUGCCUAGCACGGCCGGCUCGCGCCUCUCAUUUGUACGUCCUCCUUGAAAGCUCGUGGUGCGGGAACAAGCAUCCUGCUCCAACCGGGAGGAGCGGAGCCCAAAGUGGUAGAGUAGGGUCACAAAGGGCGAUGGAUCUGGACCGGUGCAAACCGCGACGGGCUGCAUUGCCUCGUCGGCCAACGGGAUAGAAGGCAGAGCUCAAAUUCCUACCCCUGUCCAUCCAUGACCGGCGGAGCGAGGCGCAUGCAAAGGGCGAGUUCUCCUCAUCAUCCAGAUCCGAUUGCGGCAAGGCAUCCCAGUCGAUGGGCUUCGCCUCGUUGCUGGAUCCGCCACUGAAAUCGCUGCCAGAAUCAACCCAUAUGGUAGCCUGAGAAGAGGAAGCAAUGGAGAUGGGAGCGAACAUGACUGGAGUGGAAGGGGAGAGAAGAAGCCAGCACUGAGCUAUGUUUGCACCCUAGUGGAGAUGGGUCGGGCGAGCACGAACGGGUCCAAUAUGACGGCCGCGUCAGGGAGUGUCGAUCUACCCCAGACGAUAGGGCUAACUAUGUGGGGUCCGGUUGGGUGGCAAUUAUGGGCUGAGUAGUGACCGGGCUGUCCGCCCAUACGUUUGGGAGGAUAUGAGUGCUCCUUUGUACAUGCUUUAAAUCUGGGCAUGAGAAGCCGCACCUGCCGGUGCCUAUGCUGGGCUUGUCCCUCUUAGCUGGAAAGCCCCAAAAAGUCAAGGACCUUAUUUUUGGGAUUUUAUAUGAGAAAUAGGUAUGGUAUUGUAUCAAUUUGUCCUAAAAUAAUUCUUUUAUUAUAUUUAAAUAAAAAUAUAGCCAUUUUCGUGGCCAAGCGAGGUGGGAUAAGACCCGGGCUCGGAAUUUUCAGGCCGGGAUCUAGCAGGUCCGUCAGUUUUAAUCAAUUUAUUUCUUUUUCAGUUCUAAGCUGUUUUAAGUACCUGGUCAGCAAUCUCUAACCAAUGAUAAGAUAACAAGACUAGGCCUACUAUCAAUUUUCAUAGUCAAUUGUGUCCCUGGUCACAUUACUCCAAUCCAUCUAUAUUUAUGCGUGCUCAUAACCAGUUCACCUUGUUUGAAAUAAGCCCAGUUAUGUUUCCUUUUUGCAAGAAAGUACCGCAUUUAUAUUAAAUGACUUCCAACAUCCCGGAAAACAGAUCGUCGACGUGGUCCAGUGCAUCACAGGUGGCAACAAUGAACUGAAAGAAAUUGCGAAAUUUAAGGUAGUUGUUAGUGGCAGGAUCUAGUUUGAAGGUGAUCUAGGAAUGGAUGUUGGUUUUAUGGACGGUAUGGGGGCCUAGAGUUAGGAAAAAGGAUUGAGAGGGUAAUAGAGAGAGCACCAGCUACAGUAUUGAGGGCACCAUGGAGCUGAGAAACUGGGAGAGGUUUAACACCCUCUGGUUCUGAAGAAGAAGAAAAAUAAUACCACAAGCCUGCAAAGUAAACCAACAUAUAGAAUUAAGAAGCAAUUUAACAAUACUUAGUGGGCAAUCUCCGUGACAACCAUCAAAAUAUUGCUAUGCUGUUAAGGAAUUAUUUCUUUGAAUAAGCUUGGUACUAGUUGUAAUAGUUGCAUGUUGUCUAAUAUGUGACGUUAGUAAGGAAUUGCGUCAAGCAAAUUAUAGCAUCUUAAUUAUCAUAUUACCAAGACCUGAAGAUAUAUACAACCUUGAAGCCUUAAGAGCUAGAGCCAUUGCCUAUUUUUUCUUAGAAAUUGGGCCAACCCUGUCGCGUACGGAUUUAUUUAGUAGUAAUUAUUCUGUAUAUUUUCAUGGAUAUAUAGGAAUAGGCAGUGUAUAUGUGGAGUGCACACAAUCUUGUUCAACUUUUCUUUGCUGGAAGUAAGCUGUUUUAAGUACUUGGUCAGUAAUCACAAAUCAAUGAUAAGAUCGUAAGACUGGGCCUACUAAUAUAAUCCCUCCGUCCCAAAAUUCUUGUCUUAUAUUUGUCUAGAUACGGAUGUAUCUAAUACUAAAAUGUGACUUGAUACAACCGUAUUUAGACAAAUCUAAGACAAGAAUUUUGGGACAGGGGAGUACUUUCAAAGUCAACUGCGGCCGCUAGUCAGAUGUGUACCACAAGACAGUUACAUAUAUCAUGCUCAGCACGAGUUCACAUUGUUUUAAAAGCAACCCAGACAUAAGUAUGAGUGUUAGUUCAAACAUAUUUGUAAAAGAACACUCGUUUAUACACUUUAGGAGUUAAUACAUUCAUGAGUGGUUUUUUCAUCAUGUAACUGGCACGGAGUGUUACUGAAUAUAACUUUAUUAUUUAUUACAUUUCUUAGGAUUCUUCCUAUCAUGAAACUAGCGGUACUGCCUGCUCAGUUGCGCGGCAAGAUUUUGAUUUGUCAUUUUAAAUUUGGAAACUAUAUUUUGGCAUUUUAAAUAUUUCUUAACACUUUGUAAAUAUGCAUUCUUGUAAUUACCUAAUUGCGAAUGAGGAAUUCAUCAGCAAAGGAAUGCCAAGAAAUAGUCGGUCCCACAAAAAAGGCUGAAAUUAAGUGUUUUUACUAAAAGACAUUCAAUUAGAACAUAUCAUGUAAGAAGGCCUAAAUUCAUCCAUACAUACGCAUUAAGUAUACUUGUGGGGUUAACAAUUUUAAGCAUGUAUACAUGUACAUCUAUUAUCUAUUAUAUAAUUAAGACAAGAGGCAAACAAGCCAUCACGUUCGUCCACAUAUGAUAAUAUUUUGUACACCGUUUCAUUAGAAUAAUAACGGUUGAGAUUUAAAGAUUCUUACGUAACAUCGUAAAAUAGAUGUGCCAGUACAAUUGAACUGUCAUGUUGUCAUGUUAUAUGCAUGUAUAAGCAUUAGGUAUGUAAAAAGAAGAAAAAAAGAGUAAAAAGACAUAUUGGUUUGUCGCGUUACAUGUACCGUCACGUAAAAGAGAUGGACACAGAAGGGUGCAAAUAACCAUGACGUGCACACAUGUACAUACAUGAAUAAGAGUUCUAGGAAAACUAAAGAUGAAAGUAGGGUCACGUGAGAAUUAGAAAGGGAAACCUAGGGGACGAAACUAGAACGUGAAGGCAGACUUCAACUUGGACACGUACAUGUUCUCAAAAAAAAAAAACUUGGACAUGUGCAUGUAACGGAGAAAAAAGCUUUGCAUGAAGGGUAUUCACUGGAAAAGAAUAUGCAUAUGUAAAUCUACCAACUUACAAGGAAACAUACUAAAAAGUCUAGCGUUCUAACGCAUAGCAUAAAAACCUUAUACUCUAUACUGUUACACAACAAAAAAUCAGCUAUUAGGCUCAAAUUAAAAUUUAACCGGUAGAACUGCACAUGCAAUUCAAACUAAAUAUAUUAUUGGUAAUUAGUCAUUCGCUAAUUUAUGAGAAGACGCUGCAAGACAACAAUAUAUUACCGAUUUUAUAUGAAUAUACACCAAUAGUUUUUUUUAAAAUAUACACCAACAGUUCUUAGCCUUAUAUGGUCAGGCUACAUAAACAAUUAGAGUACGAGGACUUUGUCAAGAACAUUUAGAAGCAUGUGUCGAAAGCCGAUAUCGAUGAUACUGCACUAUCUAUAAAAGGAAUGCACAACAAAUAGAGGUACACAACAUAAAUCUUACAUAUUUAAUUGAUGAUGAAAUGAUUUGGCGUGGUAAGAAUCUAAGAUAGGUGUAAUUGGUCACCUUUCGUCGGGCAUCGGUGGAUGUCGAAAGGAUUUCAACCUAAAAGACACACAUUUCAAGUAUAAUAUUUUUUGUAUUUAAAAAUCACAUAUCAGUGGCAAUGUGGCAUUCGACUUAACAUUUAUGUGUUGGAGGAAAUAGCGACUAACCAAGAGCAGUAGAAAUGUGGAAUUUGAUUAGUGUUAUGGGACAAGCGGCUAGCUUGGUAAGCUACCAACAAAAAAUUGCAAUCAAUGAUUAGUGUUAUGGAAUUAUAUGGCUUAGUAUUGUAAGGUGCUGAUCUCCAUGACAUAGCACACUUGAAAGAAGUAUUGUUAAACUGACGAUUCCAAGGUCUUAUGGCUUUCUCGGAGAUGCACAUUUUGGUCAUACGUUACUAUAUAAUAUAAAAGUUGGUGUUGAAAACAAUACUACAUAACAAUUAGACUCGAAUGAAUGAUAGAGAAUAUUUUACCAAAAGAAGAAAUCAAGCAUUAAUUAAGGAAAAAUCUGUGUCCUGCCUUUUUUUUGUUUUGAAAUCCGGUUAUAUUCAAAUAACUGGGCAGUGGGCACCAUUAGAACUGAACAAGCCCUGGACAGCCCAAGCGAGAAUAUUGUAUCAACUUUAACCAUGAAGUGGCUUUGAUAGUUACCUCACAAUGAGAAGAUGUACAAGCAUAUAAACGUAUAUAUGGAUAUAUGACAUGUAUUUAUAAGAACACAUGUGCAUAAACAGACGGUGUAUUGCUACAAGCCAACAAUUAAUGUUUAGAUUUUAUUGACAAAAAUUCUACAAGAAUAUUUGGUGAAAAGAUAAAUGAAAAUGGAUUUGAGAAGGUGGAAUAGUGAAAGCCACGUAUUAGUACAAAAUCAUAUGGUUUUCCAUGGUGGGACACAUGCCUUGGUUCUGUCUAUCUUUGAUUGCCAUAAUAACCCAGUCUGUACCAACAUCUUUAUACAUAUUACAAAAAUAUACGAUGUGAACUUUGGUGAUGAUUUAUAUAGAUAUAAAAAAAAUGUAAUUGGUUAUAUAAAUAUUUAUAUAAUGACAGAUCAAAUAAAAGAAGAUACAUAGAGAAAUAACAGCACAAAACAUAUAAUAUAAAUAAAGGAAGUCUAGCCGCGCAAACGCGCGGGUCACUAUAUAUAAAAUAGCUGGGCAACUAAGUUUUGGUGAACUUAUUGUGGAAGUACAUGUCGUCCCACGUUAUAUGAAGUGUGUGGUCGUUCUUGUCAUUAAGUAAGGAUACCCAUUCAGAGCAGGAUGCUUUAUGGCUAAGCUCCUAUAUUACUGCCGGCCCAAGUUGAUGACAGAGAAACUCCUGAUCAAACAAGCUGAUAUACGGGAGCACAUCACCUUGUCGAUGCUAUGGAGGAACUUGACGCCGAGACCGCGAUUAGUCAUCGCUUGAUCAAUAUCUGCGAGGAACUUGAGCUGCUACCCAUACUUGGUGACAGACAUGGUGCUCUCCUUGAGCAUGUGGUACUUGACGCUAAGACUGAUGAUGUGUGCGGAGUUAUUGUUGAGGAAGUACUGGUGGAGGCGAUUCCAUGCCGACAAGGCAAUGCCGUCAUUGGACAUCGCAAGUCCAGAAGACCAUCGUCGAUCAUGGUAUAGACCCACAACAUGAUCCUGAUGUCAGCACGCUGCUACUCGGGGUCAUCAAUUUCAAGUUCAGAUGUUGAAUAAUGUGGUUGAGUUCGGAGGCGGGGAGGACGAACCAGAAGAAAUGCACCAUUUAUGGUAGUUGUUGACAACUUGGGUCGAGUUUAAAGGUGAAGUAGGACUGGAUGUUGGUAUUAUGGACGACAAUCGGGCAUGAAGUUUGUAAAAGGGGUUGGGAGGUAAGAAGAGGGAGUAGAAGAAAUAGUGGCGACGGGCGCCAUGGCAUCAACAGAGAAACAUGGAGAGGUCUUGGGGGUUUGCGCCAUAAGUGACGUGGUGCUGGAGUUGGUCUGGCUGUUGUUCACUGGUGUUACCAAGCUGAACUCAGUAAUAUGUAUUGUUUGCCUCAAGGUUUACAAGUGUAAAUGUGCACAAUAUAUAGAGAAAGGUCACAGAGAGAGGCCUAACUAACUUCAACANNNNNNNNNNNNNNNNNNNNNNNNNNNNNNNNNNNNNNNNNNNNNNNNNNNNNNNNNNNNNNNNNNNNNNNNNNNNNNNNNNNNNNNNNNNNNNNNNNNNNNNNNNNNNNNNNNNNNNNNNNNNNNNNNNNNNNNNNNNNNNNNNNNNNNNNNNNNNNNNNNNNNNNNNNNNNNNNNNNNNNNNNNNNNNNNNNNNNNNNNNNNNNNNNNNNNNNNNNNNNNNNNNNNNNNNNNNNNNNNNAUGGGCUCUAGUACAACACGGUUGAGUUACAACAGUACAUACAUAUGGUGCGUAGAUGUUUAAUAAUAUUGAUUUGAAUUCAUGUAUGACGGGGUAACAAAUGGCAAAGAUUAACAAUAACAUUAGACUGCCUGCAAUAGGAAUAUCAUACUAGCUAGUAUCAUGCACGACAACUAAGCAUUUUUUAUGAGGUGAAUAUAAAUGAAGAAAAAAAGAGUCCAGUAUUAUAUCAUGAUAUCGUAUCAUAAUAAAUGUUAUGCUCCUAUGUGUCAUACAUAACAACAAAUAAGGCCAUAUCUAAGAUACUAAUACACGAUAUUAUGCAUUAUAGAGGUAAUAUGAUAGAAUAGUAUCAUAUGCAUGAUAUGAACUUAUGAUAUGUACAACUCAUUACGGGAGCCUUAGCCACGCAAAUGUAUGGGUCAUUUUGCUAUAAAUGAUCCUUCUGACGUCAAACUGCACGCAUUAUUGCACAGAUCACUUGCGUAGAAUUUAGCACAAAAAAUAUUGGUGCGCAGGGUAUAUGCUAUAUCAAAGUCAACCACAGUUAAUUAAGUGACACGAAUAAGAACUAGCUGUAUUCGCAAAAAAAAUGAAUAAGAACUAACUAGGUUUUCUUAUUAUUUUAUUGGCGGUGUAGUACUAGCUAUCCAGCUAUGGCUAUCCUCGCAUUGGCUCCCUAUAAAUAGCAUCCUGCUCCCUCAUAUGGACAUGUACCAGUUAAGCAGCCAGCUAGCUCAUCUCCAUUGCAUCUGUUCUUGCUCUAUUCUCCAUUAGAACCUCCCAAUUCAUCAAUGGCUUCAUCUCUGAAGGUGGCCGCUGUCGUCGCGGUUUGCAUCCUGCUUGUCCUGAACAUGGGCCAGCCGGCGGCAGCCACAGAAUGUGAAGAUUGUCUAGGCGCCUGUGUUGGCAUCUGCAUCGCCUACGCUGAAACAUCAUGCACCGGCAUAUGCACCGCCAUAACUCCUGCAUGUCAGGCAUGUAAGGACGCGGCCUUAAUUGAGUGCGGUGCAACAUGCUAUGGCGGUUGUACCCUCCUCUGCUAAACCACCGGCCGGCUGUGCCCUGUUGCUCGCCGUAAGCUAGGUGCAUGCUUGUGUUCGUUGUUACUUCGUUGUUGCUAUUAUAAGCCAAAUAAGCGAACUAAUGCCGUUGCUGUGUGCAUGUGGCAAAAGUUCCUUCGUUUUAUUGUUCCACCUCGUUUCAACCAUCAGUAAAUAUACUUGUGUGCAAGUUGUGUAUGUUUUGUGCUUCUUCGUACAUAUCAUGUGUCCAAUGUGUUGUCAUACUUAAACAAUAGGGAUAUAUCCUUAUCAAGAGAACGCAGUUCCAAAGUAUGUAGUUUCGCUUCCCUCACGGUAGGGUUUCUUCUUUCACUCAGCGCCUCAUAGUGGCGUAAAGAUUGCAUCUAAUUCCUUCACAACUUGUCUUCUUCCAGCAUAAAACUCCGUCCUAAAUUUUCUAUGAUUUUUCUUGUUCACCGAAAAUACUAGUUUCCUUUGCUGUGCUUGAUCGUUCAUGAAUUAUUCCAACUAGUUCCAUGCAAGACUAGUUUAAGACCAUGGACGGAUUAAUGUUAAGUGGUAGCUUAUUAUAUUGAUGCCAACUCCAUUAUAUGUAGAAGGGUUGACACCAUGGGCCCGCAAAGUAAACCAAUAUAUGGAAUUAAGCAUGCAAUUUAGGAAUACUUAAUGUGUAGUCUCCGUGGUAGCGACCAAAAUAUUGCAAACAGCGAUUUUCUAAUGCUAAGGAAUCAUUACUUUGAACAAGUUUCUCGGUGCUAGUUGCGUGUAGUCUAAUACGUAGUGGCAUUCAUGAGGAAUUGUGCCAAUCAAUGGAUAAUAUCUUAGUAGUCGCAUAUUACUCCGUCCAUUUGAAAAUACUUGUCGAAGAAAUGAAUAAAAAUGGAUGUAUCUAGAAGUAAAAUACGUUAGACACAUCCAUUUCAACGACAAUAUUUCUGGACCGCUCAUUGAUAUGGUCUAAUCUAGCAAGAACUACUAUUACAAGUACUUCGCAGCUACGUGCACCUGCUUCAUCGAGCAGGUUUACAUUCGCGGGGUGGGUAAUAAAAUGAGCGGCCCUGGUGUGCCCUAGUCGUAGUUGCCGACAUGCAUGGGUCAGCCGCUACGUACUUUCUUGCGUGUAAAGAGUGACCAAUGACACAGAUUGCGUGUAAAGAGUGCCUCUCAGCAGAAAAGCCCCCAAAAUCCCAUGAGACCUUAUUUUUGGGAUUUUAUAUGAUAACUAUGUAUGAUACUGCAUCAAUUAAUCACAAAAUAAUUUAUUUAUUAUUUUUAAAUAUAAAUAUAACUAUUUUGUGCCCAAGGGAGGUGGGGUCAGACCCUGGCCUCGGCAUUCUCAUACCGGUUCUGGCAGGCCCAACCAUUUUAACAUAUUUAUUUAUUUAUUUAUUCCGUGACUAAGCCGUUUUAAGUACUUGGUCAGCAAUCUCUAACCAAUGAUAAGAUCACAAGACAAGGCCUACUAUCUAUCUUCAUAGUCAACUGUGCCGCUAGUCACACUACUCCAAUCCAGUUAUAUUGAUGCGUGCUCAUCAUCAGUUCACCAUGUUUUAAAGCAACCGAGUUAUCUUUCUUUUUUGCGUGAAAGCUCCGUCUUUAUAUUAAAAUACUUCCAACAUUCCGGAAAAAAUAUCGUUGAUGUGGUUAAGAAGCAAUUUAACAAUACUUAGUGGGCAAUCUCCAUGACAACCAUCAAAAUAUUGCUAGCUAGUUUUCUAAUGCAAAGGAAUUAUUGCUUUCAAUAAGCUCGGUACUAGUUGCAUUGUUGUCUAAUAUGUGACGUUGGUAAGAAAUUGCCUCCAGCAAAGGAUAACAUCUUAAUUAACAUUAAGAGCUAGAGCCUUGCCUAUUUUUUCCUAGAAACUGGGCCAACGUUGUCGCGUACGGAUUAAUAAAGUAGUAAGUAUUCUGUAUUUUCUCAUUGAUAUAUAGGAAUGGACCAGUGUAUAUGUGGAGUGCACACAAUCCCUUGCUGGAACUAAGCCGUUUUAAGUACUUGGUCAGCAAUAUCAAACCAAUGAUAAGUACACAAGACUGGGCAUCCUUUAUAACACUAAGCUCCCUAGUUUUAAUGAGCGUACAUUCAAUUGAGGUUUCCAGUUAAAAUUGAGUCCCGAUUUUGACCGAGUCAACAAUUUCUCAAAGCCCCAUGAUUCUAUUCUUUUAUUGCUUUCUAAUUUUUUAGGCCUCACAACUAAUUGAUGUAUUAAAUUUAGAAUUGGGUCAUCCAAAUUUGAUCGAGUCAACAAUUUCUCAAGCUCACACUUUCAAUUCUUUUCAUUCACCAUAUUCCAAAAUUUUGAAGCUCUCAUUCAAUUGAGGUAUUCAAUUUUGAUUUGGUUUACUGUUUUGACUGGUCCAACGAUUUUUCAAAUCAAUCAACAACAACCGACCUAUAAAAACAUAUCAAUCCUCCGCACCCUCCCACCACCUAAAAGAAGCAUCGUCAUGUGAUACUAUAGCAUCAAUAUAGUACAUGCAAUCAUCGACACGGAAAUGUCCACACAUAAUUAUAGGUUGUUUAGCCAAUAACACGGAAUCACACCAUGAAAGGCGCACCAAAUCACCGCAUUAUAAGUAAAAAUAAACCACACUAUCAUCUCUUCCACCCGCCAAACUAAAUAUUCCAUCAGCUAUAAAAUAUAAGGGGUCCCCAACACGCACGAGGAUUAGCCCCCGCGUCGUCUUCCUGGCGGCUCGGGGGAGAAAAAACCCUAGCCACCGCGACUCCUCCCCCUCCCCUCCUAGUCUCGCCGCCGCCGGAGGGGUCGCCCUGGAAAAGGCCGGGCGGCCUUGAGGAAGCUGGCGGCGGGGCAACGAUUCCCUUUUGGUGGCGCGAGCAUGCGAGAGCUCCGCGCGCGGCAGAGGAGUUGCGGACGGCGGCAGCCACCGCCACGGGACGGGAAAAGCACGGCGAUCCAGUUGGCCUGGCGCUGCGGGCGCACCAUGCGUGGCGACGGUGUGGCCUAUGAUCUCCUACUUGGCGGCUUGGAUCUGGGGCUUCUGAUCUGGGUCGGGCAUCCAGGUUGGGGCUUUGCCUGGUGUCACGGUGACGGCUACUCUGCUGCGUGCUGGCCUGUUGGUGGUGGCCGGCCAGGAGGCGGCGGUGGAUCUGGCUUCAGAUCUAUCCGGUGGCAAGUUUGGAGUGGCAAGACUUUCAGAGAAAACCAAGCCUCAACUACGGUCAUGGUGGACGAUGGCGGCGUCUUUUGGCGUCGUUACCUUGUCGAAGGCAUCGUCAUAGCAAGUCGCGUCACUCCUUUCGGCCUGCUCUGGGGGAAACCCUAGAUCUGUUGUCAUGGAUCGGGCGAUGGCGACGUCAGGCACCGCGCUCCUUGCUGGGGGCAUCGUUUUGGAGCAGGUACCGACUUGGGUGGACAGGUGGUGGAGCGGCGUGGUAUCUAUCGCUCAUCAACGACUGGUCUCGGCGGCGUGGCGCAGCGGGGUCUCGCUGACAGAUGCGAGAUGAUGGACGCCCGCAGGGGGGCGGCGCUGUCUGGCGUCAUGGUGGUGUCGACAGCAGCUAGACCCGGCGAGGUAGAUGCAAUAGUACAUCACUGAAAAUGGAUUGGUGGCAGGUGGCUGCGACGGCCUCAUACCUGGUAGGCGUCCUGGUUGAGGAGUACGCCGGACUGGUGGGUGCCCCAUACCCGGCAGACGUCCUCGUUGGGACCUCAGGUCUUAGAUGUUUGGUUUGGUUGUGAGGUAUGUUUGUUAUUAGGCCCAGACUAUCAGCAUCCCUUCAUCAACUGGAUUGGAGUAAUGACAGAUGUUGCCUAGACGGUGACUUUAGUCUUACUAUUGUAUGACUUUGUAAGGUCUUAUGUGAAUAAUUAAUAAAGUGGAUGCAUGCAUCGUCCAGAUGCAGAGGCCGGGAGUCCUUCUCCUUUUCUAAAAAAUAUAAUAAAAUAUAAAGGGUAUUAGGUUUUUAGAAAGACAAAUUUCUUUAGCUUUGACCAAGUUUAAAGCAAAACAUCGACAUCCACAAUAUUAAACAAAAAAAAAGUAUGGAAAUUCAAUUUUUUUUGAUGAAUCUGAAAAUACUGAUUUGAUAUUAUGGAUUUUGAUAUAUUUCUUUACAAAUUUCAUCAAACUUAAAAGGUUUGACUUUUCAAAAACAAUAAUACAUCUUAUAUUUUGAAAAGUGUGAUUAUUUUUUUAACAAAACCAACAAACACGAAAGUAUAUUUUGGUAUAUUAAAUAUAUAUUUUUGCUUUGAAAAUAUAUAUUUGUUGUAGUCACCUUGUUUUGUAUGAGGAAUUCAUCAGCAAGGAGUGCCAAGAAAUAGUCAGUUGUACUAAAAGCUGAACUUUCAAUGCUUUUAAUAGAAAGAACAUUCGUACAUAUUAUUUAAGAAUGCCUAAAUUGAUCCUAUGCAUGUAGUAAGAACACCUGCGGUGUUAUAUUAUUAAGUAUGCAGAUGUAGAUUAUAGGAUAAUUGGACAACUAAGUAUUCGGGAUUACUCUGGAAAUACACAGUAUGAUCUUCAUAUCGUUAUACGAAGUGUGUAUAGCCCUUUUUACUAGUGAGUAAGGGUGCUCAGUCAGAUCAGAAUGCUUUAUGGUCGAACCCGGACUGCCAACAGGAGUUGAUGACUGAGAAAUCUUCGAUUAAACAAGGUAAUCAUGAGCACCCAUAAUCUUGUCGGUGUCAUGGAGGGAACUAGAGGAAGAGAUUCCGAUCAGUCGUGGCCUCAUCAACUUCAGCAAGGGAAUCACCGAGGAACUUGGACUAUGAUGCAUACUCAGCGACCGACAUGGUGCCCUGCAUGAGAAUGCAGUACUUCCUGUUAAGAUGAAUGGCGUGGGUGGCAUUGUUGUUGAGGAAGUACUGGUGGAGGCGAGUCCAUGCUGAUAAGACAAUGUCGUCGGAGGACAUUGCCAGGUCCAGAAGACUACCGCCGAUAGUUGUGUAGAUCCAACAGAAGAUCCCGGUGUCGGUACAUCGCAGCUUGGGAUCGUCGACGUAAAGUUUGAACGUCAUGUUAAUGUGGUCGAGUACAACGCCGUAACGCAGGUGGAGAGGAUGAACAGCAAGAAAUCAGACGUUUAUGAUAGUUGUUGGUGGGUGGGUCCAGUUUGAAAGGGAUGUAAGAGUGGAUGUUGGUAUUGUACACGGCAAUGGGGGCCUGAAGUUUGAAAAAUUAAUUGGGAGGGUACGAAGAGAGAGUUGAAGCAGUGGUGAUGAUGGGAACCAUGGCGCCGACAGAGAAACUAGGAGAGGUCUGCAAGGUUUGCGCCAAAAGGGAGGUGGCACUGGAAUUGGUCUGGGUGUUGCUCAAUGGCGAGCAGAUGGCUCUGAUUACAAAGGUGAAUUAUAUAAUGCUUGCAUCCAGGUUUACAAGUGUCGAUGUACAACACAUCAGAUAAUGAAUAGAGAGAGCCCUAACUAACUGCAACAUACGGAAAAAGGCACCCACAGGUGCACGAGAGAUCUUCGAUCCUAACCUCUAAGGACUAUGGUACAACACGAGCUUUGCUAUACCUGCGGGGGCUCGUGUGGGGAGGGGGUUACGUAAUGUUUUGCCAAUUUCUAAUUGUUCAUUGGUGGGGGCGUGGGGCCCAUCCUAAAAUUCAGGGGUGUGUUUGAUUAGUUCAGAAUGAAGUUACGUAGGAUGCAUUACGUAGUUCUAGCAUGUUUGGUAGUACGGGUACAACGGUACAUACAGAUGAUGCAUUGUUUAACAAUAUUAAAUUGAAAUCAUGUACUACAAGGGUUAGCAAAUGGCAAAGACUAACAAUUCUCAUGUCAAAGUGCAAACAUUCAAUCAUUGGUGCACAAUGAACAUAUGAUAUUGAAGUCAACAACAGUUAAAUUAAACAAUAUGGAUCGCACUCAAAAAAUAUUUAAGUGAUACAGAUCAGCAAAUUUGCUAGUUCUGGUUUUUUUUUUGUGAGGUGGAGAAAGAAUGCUAGCUAGCUAGCUAGCUAGUUCUGGGUAGUCCUCACGUUGGCUGCCUAUAAAUAGCAUCCUGCACCAUCAUAUGGGAAUGCACCAGUUAAGCAGCUAGCUAACUCAUCUCCAUCCAUCGCAUCUCUUCUUCCUCAAUCCUCCACUAGAACCACCCACCCAAUUCAUCAAUGGCUUCAUCUCUGAAGGUGGCCGCUGCCGUCGCCGUGGCCGUUUGCGUCGUGCUUGUGCUGAACAUGGGCCAGCCUGCGGCAGCCACAGAAUGCAAAGAUUGUCUCGCCGACUGUGUUGACGUUUGCGUCGACUACUCUGACACUGCGUGCAGUGGCAUCUGCACCGCCAAACCUCCUGCAUGCCAGUCAUGCAAGUACACGUCCUUCCUUACAUGCGGUGGCACAUGCUACGGCCCCUGUGCCCACUUCUGCUAAAGCCUAUAGUGGCUGUAAGCUGUCUGUGUGUGUUGGUACCUCGUUGUUGCUAAGCCAUGUAAAUAAGUGAACAAAUGCUAUUGCUCUGUGCAUAUGGCAAAUGUUCCUUCGUUUUAUUGUUCCCCUUUGUUUCAACCAUCAGUAAAUAUACAUGUAUGUGUGCAAGUCAUGUACUCCUAUAUAUGCUUUCUGCUUCUUUCUAUCAUGUUUCUGACCUGCUCAUGCUGGGGUGGAUAUCAGGUGAUACCACCUAUUACAUGCUCCCAUGCUAAAAAAAUUAAAAAGUCAUAGUUAGAUGUUUCAAAAAAAUUGAAAACAAUUAUGGAUGUUCACAAGACAUACGCCUAUAACCCCUAAAAAUUCAGAUCAAAAUUCGAAAUAUACAUUGAGAAACAAAAAGACAAAUCUAUAUGUCAUGUUUUGUCUUCUUUUACACUAUUCAUUCUAGAUUUUUCAUUUUUGUUUCUCAAUAGGUAUCUCAAAUUUGGGUCAGACUCUUUUAGGGGUCGUAGUCAUAUGUCUUGUGAACAUCUACAAAGUUUUUCAGAACAUCUAAAUGUGAUUGAUAGCUAGCAUAAAUAUCCAUCCAUGAUAGAUCCUUCUUCCUUCCACUCCGCCAUCAUGGAUUGGACUUGGCUUUGGCUUUGGGGCUGGUUCAUCUGAAGUGCUCCCAGACAUAGAGCUCUGACCUAUUUUCCUAAGAAAUUGGACCAAUGUUUUCAUACUGACGAAUUUAGGAAUAGUUCUGCUGCAUUUUGUUCAUUGAUAUAUACGGAUAGGGCAGUGUAUAAGUGGAGUACUUCGCUGAUGCCAGCAAGUUAGUAACCAUCACUUACACGCGUUAACAAAUUCUUCUGUAACAAGUAGUUUAAUAUCAUUCACAAAUUAAUGUCAAGUGGUAGUAGCUUCUUCUAAUAAUGUCAACUCCAUUCACCAAUCAUUCAGGAUCAUGACAAAUCAAAGAAGGUUCCACACCUUCAUAAAUUUGGCGCCACCUUUUACCGAUUAUAAAGAUCCAAAUUUCAGCGAUUGUGUUGUGGAUGCUCUUAAUCUUGUAUUGUUUCAUCCAUUGACACACCCAUUCCGUAAAUGAAACGAUUGAAACAACUUUUAAUAUUAGAGUUAGUGAUGACAAAUUCAUGAAAUUUAUUUUUUAGGGUGUUUUAAAAUAAAAAACAAUGUGUCCUUACCUGAGCAUUUUUAAGUGAUUUUGGGAAGUGAAAUCACACAAGAACACUGUGUGAGAGCCGAAAAUAAAAAAGAAAUGUAAAAGAGUUAGUACAUCGGGCCUGCGUGACCAUCUCCAUGGUACAGCUAGGCUACUGCUGGAGAACGUUUCCCACAGCGCUUACAAGCCCUAAUAUCUACUCCUCCAUCCAGAAUUACUUGUCGCAUAAAUAGAUGGAAAUGAAUGUAUCUAGAAUUAAAAUACAUCUACAGACAUGCAUUCUUCCGACAAAUAUUUUCGGACGGAGGGUGUAUCUUGGGCCAGUGACCAGCAACAUCAGAUAGCAUUAGUUAUCUUCUCUCCUUUCCAUAAAGGGAGGAAUGAUCGGGCCAAGGUCGCCUAAUUUUGCCAUGGCCUCUAGCCAACCACCCCAUCGGGCGUAGCCAAGCCAUGAACGCUUCUCUUCUCUCUUACCGGAGCCUGAUUUUUAGGCUAAGUAUCGUAACUAGUAUCAGACAUGCCGAUUAUGCAAUUUUAAUGAGGUGGCAUAGAAAUCUAUAAUACUAUGCAUUACGGAGGUAGUAUCAUACACUAGCAUAUGAUACUAAUAUAUGAUACUCCCCACUACAACCAGCCUAAGUAAUCAGGUGCUCCAAAGUGAAAAUGUGUGUCUAGUGUGCAUAAUAAAGUGCCUAGGUGGACAAUACAUGCAUGUCCAUCCUUGGGCAGCAUAGCAGCCAACCCUACCCUACCACAUGCUGGCAAUUGUUUAUUAUGUUGAUCUCAUGUCAGUGUGGCCAUGCGAGUGUUAAUUAAGUAUUACUAAUACUUGUCGUUCAAACGGAUGUAUUUAGAAACAAAGUGAGACCUUCAUCUCGUGAGAAAGACCGCCGAUGGCUACCGGCCAUCGCCCUCGCGCCAGGAAGAGUACGUUGCCGUGCAGUCCGCCGACGUGGAAGACAAGUUUAUCAAGUUUAUCAAUUCUACUUGCAUAUAGUACUCCCUCUGUUUUUAUUUAGUUCGCAUAUUAGCUUUGGUCAAAGUCAAACUUUACAAACUUUCAUCAAGUUUAUUAACAAAAAUAUUAUGAUAUACAAUAACAAAUCAACAAUAUUAGAUUUAUUAUUGGAUGUACUUUCACCUCGAAUAGAUUUAUUAUGAUAAAUGUCUAUAUUGUUUUCUAUAGACUUGGUCAAACUUUACGAAGUUUGAUUUUAGUCAACUCUAAUAUGCGGAGUAAAUAAAAAUGAAGGGAGUAUAUUGUCUAAUAAGUAAUAACCUUCGUAAGGAAUUGCGCGGAUCCAAGGACACCAUCUUAAUUAGCAUACUACUAAGAUUCGAAGAUAUAUGCUAUGCAUAUUAGAUUCGCCUCAAGUCAAACUUUAUAAAUUUUGAUCAACUUCGUCCAAAAAAUUGUGAACAUCCACAAUAUGAAAUCAACAUCACUAAAUGCCGGCCUAGAGAGACACGAGAGCUUCUACGUGGCAUGCCAUCAACCUUCAACCCGGGUAGUGCGAAGUCAACCGCUCGAGCUGAUUCCAUCCAUGCACGCAUCAGGCCGACCUCCAACCGGGAUAGAUGCCCUUAAGGCAUAUACAAUGGUACUAUCUUAGAAAUGUCAUGUAGGAUAAUUACUAGGAUAAAGGAAAGAAAAACAAAUAAAAAAAGUGUUCCAUUUCUCUUACUUAUGAGAUGAUCUGUUAGCCCCAUAUCUUUUACCAUUACUCCUUGCAUAUGAGAAUAUAUUUUUAUUGCGGAUAAAACUAAGAGAUACCCCAUUCUACCCGUGAUUUUAUUAUCAUCUCUAAACUACAUGGUAGGCUUCAAAGAUAAAAUUGUUUUUUCAACCAUUGUACAUGCCUUUAGUAGGUUUUUGGCUGGGGUACCAAGUAUAGUUUUUCAAGAAAAGUCUCCUUCCUCCUUCCGCCAGCGCUGCUGCCGAUCCGCCCCACCUCCAAUGGCCCUUGGGCCGUGGAGGUGCGGAGGACCUCGGCGGGAGGGACCCCGUUCUCUUUUUCGUUAGGUUCAAUGUCUUGAUUGGAACUGUGUGGCGGUGGCGAUGUCCCUCUGUACAAAUAAUGUCACCCACGUCAUAUCCCUGUCCCAAUGGUGCGGAUAGCAUCGUCGGAGGAUGUGUGGAGGUGUGUCUUCAUCAGAUCUCGUGGAAUUCGGUCGGUGCUAGUCUUCGGUGGAUCUAGUUGGAUCCAGUUUUUGGUUAUCUUCGUUCAUGUGGUUUCAGGUUUGAUCUUUCUGAUCUGCAAGUCUCUUCAUCGGUGAUGGUUGCUGCUCUAGUGCACGGUUCUUUUGGGGCCUUGGCACGAUGACUUCCUGGUUGUCUACUAUAACAAGGUUUGUCCGGCCCUGGUGAGGCAGGGGCGAUGAUGGCGGCAAGCCUUCGGCUCGUUCCAAUGCUUGUAGUCGUUGGUAGGUGGUUCAUAGGCCUGGUUGUAAUUUUAUUACAUUUUGUGUUCUCUGUAUUGCCAUGAUUGAUGAAUGGAUUGGAAAUUUCUCUCGAGACAAAAAUUAGGUUUUUGGCUAAUAGUGAUAAAUUAUGUGGCAUGCACAUGCGGCGGUACCAUAAUCAAGGUGCCUUCACGUGCUACGUGGAUGGACAUGCAUAGCCCUACCACGUGCUAUUGUUUAAGUUGAGCUCAUGUCAACAAACACACCGCAAAUUAAUCUAGUUGGUCAAACCAAAUCAAUAGAUCGAAGAAGAAAUACAGAGCUAUAACAAUCAUGCAUAAAAGAGUUCGGAGAAAACUCAAAUAAUAUUCAUGAAUAGAUCUGAUCAUAAACUCACAAUUUAUCGGAUCCCAACAAACACACCGCAAAAAAGAAUUACAUCGGAUAGAACUCCAAGAACAUCAAGGAGAACAUUGCAUUGAAGAGCAUCAAGAGAGAAGAAGAUAUCUAGCUACUAACUAUGGACCCGUAGGUCUGUGGUAAACUACUCACGCAUCAUCGGAAGGGCAGCAAGGUUGAUGUAGAUCCCCUCCAUGAUUGAUUCCCCCUGCGGCGGAGUGCCAGAAAAGGUCCCCGGAUGGGAUCUAUCGAGAACAGAGGCUUGCGGCAAUGAAAAAGGUAUUGUGUGGACUCCUUUGUUGGUUUCCCGAUUUUCAAGAAUUUAUAGAAGCAGAGUUAGGUAAAACAAAGCUACGUGGGUCCCACAAGCUACAGGGCGCGCCCUGGUGCCUUGUGGGCUACUGCUCCAUCUUCUCAUCCCCUCCUAAAGCUUCCAGGGUCUCUUGCCAGAAAAAAAAUCUCCAAAAAAAUUUUGUGGCAUUUAGACUUCGUUUGGUACCAAAAAAUAGCAAUUAACACUAGGCACUAAGUUAAUAGGUUAAUCCAAAAAAAUGAUAUAUAGUUGCGUGUAAGUAUAUAUAAAAUAUCCAAGAUUAAUAUUAUAAUACCAUGUAACAAUAAAAAAUUAUAGAUACGUUGAAUACAUAUCAACAGAAAAGGGUUGCGGGAAGGAUAAUGCCGGGAACAUAUUGUGGAAAAGUUUUGCGGGAAAUUGCGGGUGCCGGAAUAAAAUUACGGUCCAAAAUAUGGUUCCAUUCAACCAUUGGCUGAAAAUUUUGGUCUCAUGCAGCUGUCGUCUUAGCCUAAGCCGAUUUGAACUAAUCGGCUUCAGCCUUCUCUAUUAGUACUAAUUGGCUACGGUUAAGAUGCUUAGUUCCAAUCGGCUUAGUCUAAGAUGACUAGAGCUAGUCGGCUUAGGUUAAGCCAACUGGACACUAACCAGCUACGUCGUGGCAGAUUGGAUCUAGUCGGCUUAACCUAAGCCGAUGCUGGAUUAUUUUUAUAAUAUACAAACCGUGUAUUACUUUCCAAAUUGAUUACAAAUAUAUCAUUUUAAAAAAUUAGCCUCAUUCUACCCUCAUGUUUAGGAUUUCGUUCAUUCCAGAUUGUCUUGAUAUUUUUCUUCGGUUCACACCGUCGUAUUAAAUGACAAAAACGGUCCCAAUAAUUUGGUCAUAAACAUGGGGGCGGAAUGUGUUUCCAUCUUGAAGAUGUAUGUCCUUAAGGCGUAUACAAUAGUACUAUCUCAAAAGUGACACAUAGGAUAAUAACUAGGGUGAAGGAAAGANNNNNNNNNNNNNNNNNNNNNNNNNNNNNNNNNNNNNNNNNNNNNNNNNNNNNNNNNNNNNNNNNNNNNNNNNNNNNNNNNNNNNNNNNNNNNNNNNNNNNNNNNNNNNNNNNNNNNNNNNNNNNNNNNNNNNNNNNNNNNNNNNNNNNNNNNNNNNNNNNNNNNNNNNNNNNNNNNNNNNNNNNNNNNNNNNNNNNNNNNNNNNNNNNNNNNNNNNNNNNNNNNNNNNNNNNNNNNNNNNNNNNNNNNNNNNNNNNNNNNNNNNNNNNNNNNNNNNNNNNNNNNNNNNNNNNNNNNNNNNNGCUCGCCUACUAGCGGGGAUCCAUCCGACGGCGCUGCAAGAUCCGGUGUGGUGGGCCUCUUCGCCGGCGUCGGGGGGUGGAUCCGGGGCUGCUCAGGCCGGAUCCGGCGCGUGGUGGUGCGGUGCUGAUGGCGGCGGGAUCGAGCGCGCGAGGUCCUGCUGGUCCGAUGUCUCGUGGCGGCUCGUCAUGGCUCUGUGGUGGGCGCUGGCUGGAGGAGGAGAUGCCCGACGCAGCUGGCUGGUGAUGGCGUGUCGCUGUGAAGCGCGCAGGCCGGUGGCGGCUUGGUGCUCCUCGCCGCGGAGGCGCUCGAGCCAGGCCAGAUCUGCGCUGGCUGGAGGUGAGGGCUCAUGGCCGGCGCACGACAGGUGAGGUGGUGAUGCGGAGGGCCUGACGGGGUGUGGCAGAGGAGAUGUGGCUCGAUUUGGUGGGGGCGGCGCCAGCGGGAGGCAGUGCUGGGUUCUCACGGGCAGGUUGGUGGCGCGCUGUGAUGGCUCCGUCAAGAUGGAGCCUUGCGAGCAGCGAGCGGUCGGUCAUCCCUGUGCGGCGUGGCGAGCGGCGGUGCUUUCCUGGUGAUGCCGGCCUGGGAUUUCUCCGUGGAGAGGCGGGUCUGAUUGUCGCAAGGCCGUUCCUUGGAGUGGGUGACGGCCGUCGCGGGCAGUCCUGGACCUGGCCGGAGGUGUUGGUUGGCUGCGGACCCUCGUGCAGGCUGGGAGUGGAUGGUGUGGCCGUGGUUUCCCUGCCGGGUAGUCGGUCGUUGGUCCUCGGCUAUGCAGCUACUUCGGCAAGUGCUGCGGUGGCGGCGGUGUGAGGCUUCUUGGCAGUGCUACCAAUCCCAUGGAGGCGUGGCGAUGUGCGAAGCGCGGAUGAAAAUUUUGCACGGCUUCUGCCGGGCCGGCGGUGAUGGCACCUGUGGAUGUCAUUCCCCUCCUUGGAGGCAUCGUCGAGUUUGUUCGCCCCAUCCCUCGCGCUCUCGGUGUUGGUGGAUGUCUCCGGGUGAAAGCCUAGAUUCGAUGUUCGGAUCGACACGAUGGCGGUGUCCUCGACGCCGCUCCUCUGUUGGGAGCAUUGUGUUUGGAGACAUGACUGGUUCCUCGUUGCUCUCCUCCGGUGUUCGCCGCUAUCCUUUUCUGAUCUUCAGUGGCGCUAUGUACGUUGGUCGACGGUGAAUCCAAGGCGGUGUCUUCCCGGAUUGGAUCGAGUCCUGCCAUUCAUCUGCCACUUUCUCUUAGGCGCUCAGGGUGGAUGGUGCGUCGACAAGAGAAGUUCUGCGGAAGUGUGGUCUUCGGAGGUGUCCGGCGUCGGUCAGAGACGCGGUGCUGUGUAUCAGUUUAGGAUAGGCUUUUUGCUUUGUAGCUUGCCUAGCGGUGGUGUUUGUUUGUGGUCUUGUCGGUGUGGUGUUCGUGCUACACUCGUUGUUCGCAUCGCUUUCUUGUAACUAAAUCCUGCCUUCUAUAAAGCUAUGGUACGCCUAGGCGUACUCUCAAAAAAAAAGAAAGAGAAACAAAUAAAAAAAUGUUCCAUUUCUCUUAAUUAAAAGAUGGUCUCUCAGCACGAUUUUUGUUACCAUAUACUCCUUGUAUUUAAGAAUGUUUUUUUAUUAAAGACAAAACUAGAUGAUAAUCCAUUAUAUCCACGUGAUUUUAAGUUGGUUUUUGCCUAAUAGUGCAUGGCAUGCACAUGCGGACCAUCAUGAAGCCAUGAAGGUGCCCCCUCUGGAUGAACAUGCAUGUCCUUGGGCUGGGCAGCAGCGUGCUACUGAUACUUGUUUAAGCUGAGCGUCAUCUGAGUGUGGCCAUCAGGCAACAAGAGAGAAGACCACCGAGAUCUGCCGAUGCCCGCCGUCGCGCCCGCGCCGGAGGACCAUGUGGCCGCGGACGCCACCAAGCUCGUCGCCCUCCACUUGGAAGACGAUGAGCGGCAAGGGGGCUGCUGCUGCUGCUGCGG
rnacentral:lncRNA from 1 species